rnacentral:lncRNA from 1 species
CAAACCUUCCCUAUCUAUAUAAAGGUUGGCUUGGCCUCACACAUAUUGCUUAACCUGUAUACAGCUACUUGUCUUGUGUAUUGACUGACUAAUUGUAGUUAGCAUGGCACGUCAGGCAGACCGUCUUGCUAAGAUUGGGCUGGAGGGCUUUGCAGCCAUAGAUGAGGCCAAGAGGCGGCCACCAGUUAUGAAGGUUCCCUAUGCUCAUCCCACAUAUUACUAUGCAAACCAAAUUCCUGCAACAGCAGUUAUCGACAGCAACGAGGCAGCUCGACGCUACAAGGGGAGGGUUUAUAUCGAUUAUCCAAAGGGGAAACCAGUUCCAUUUUAAAGACCCAGUGAUUAAUCACUUUGCUUUCUUGUAUGCAUAAUCUCCUCCACUUGUGUUACCUUUAGUCCUGUACGAUAUUCUCCCUCUGCUAAACGUAGACGAGGAGCUUCUCUUACUUCUUCAAAUAAAAUUUCUGUGAUUUAUAUAUCAUAAUUUUCUAUUUGGCUGGUCAAGUAUGUAUUGUCAUAAUUAUCUUUCUGACUUCCUAAUUAUCACCUGAUUCACCUCUUACUUAGCAUGGAAUUGAAAGAUACACAAGUAAUUUUCUGUUGAAAUGCUUUGAAGCUCUUCAAGCUGUGAUUUCACCGACUUAUUUCGGAACUGUACAGAGCUCAAUGAUGAGCCGUGGGAAGCGUCUCUGAUUAUUGCACUGUAAGCACGAGUGUACGUAUGAAUAUAAACAGCAGAUCUGCUCCGUUAUUGCCAUAUGCUUAAAUAGAUCGCAGGAUCCGCAAACCACAGGUGAUGACAAGCUUCUUAAUAACUAUUAGAAAAUAAUAUAAAUCAUAUCUUGGACCCUCAUCUAACAACUUAAAUUUUUGGGUUGAGAUGGUUUUUUGAUAUGGUAUCAAAGCCUUGAUAACCAAGUAGUCAUAAGUUCAAAUCUCAUCAUUCUUAUUUAUUUAAUAAAAAUUAAGCACAGGGUAAAGUGGGUCUGUGCAAGUUUCAAACCUAAAAGGCUUUCACUCGAGGAGAUGUGUUAAAGAAUAAUAUAAAUCAUAUCUUAAGACCUCACCUAAUAAAUUAAAUUUUUGAAUUAAGAUGGUUCUUUACAAUAACUUCUAUUCUGACUUCAAUAGUGGAUUUAAGGAUAGAAAACCUGUAGGUUUGUGGUCAAGGAGGUUGGCUCUCUUCCUUAUAUUUUUUAUUUCAAACUUUAAUAACAAUACUCAUAUAAAUUUAUUUUUUCUGAAUGAAACUUGUUAAUACAAGAGUGUUAUUUUGAUGAAAAAGAAAAAUCUUAUUUUUAUCCCAUCACACCCCACCUAAGAAAUUAUGUAAUUAGUUAUUUCUAUAAGCUGUUCCAGAGAAUAUAGUCUUAAAUCAUUAUAUUUUACGACUCAUGAUUGUUUUUUUAAUAUAGCUGGGCUAAGAAAGAAAAAUAAACGGAGUUCUAUCUGCAUUUACAAUAGAAUUUUACAAUAGUGAACAAUAUAUCUAGGAAUAUCAGCGAUGAUGACCAUAGAUGGAUCAUGUGUGAAUUCUUAGCAAAUCAUUACUUGUAUAACCAAAAUUUCCUUCACAGCUCUUUUACUAAGCUGAUUGUCGAUGAAAAGUAAAGGAAAAGCAUGAUUCCCAAUCCGAGCUAUGUGAGCAAGUGUAUCUAGUAAAAAUAUCUCAUCUCCCAAGAAAACGAGAUUAGUAAGCCUCCCUUUAAAGCUUUGCUUUGCACACCUUUUCUUGAUCUUUCCCAAUCCUUCAUUAUAAAUGGGACCCAUCAAAAACAUGAGAUGUGCUUUAACCUCCUCCAUAUUUCAUCUUAGCCUAGAAGGAUAAACAAGAAUAUUAUUGCUUCUGAAACAUAACGAUUGCAAGCAUCGCCUUUCGGUGAACUUUUGAUGACAUGAAACUGCCACAAAUUGGGUCCUAUUCCGAGUGAGUUUUCUUUUUCUGCUCUGUUAUCGCAUAUAUACAACUGAAAUCUUUAAGUCCUCUUCAGGGUACCCCUGAAAGAAAAUGGUCUAUCAUGGAAAGUCCUGAGGAAUCUGAGGCAUAUAAUAUGAGAUAUAUAUCGUCCCAAGAUCAUAAAAAUGAUAAAUCUUAAUCUUAUCAGGUGUAGCCAUGAAAUGGGAUCAGAACCUAUUUUCCUAAUUUUAUUAACUAAAGGGAAAGCCACAACCAAGUCUCUGUACUAUAUGAUUGUCCAUUAAUACAGAAUCUAGCACAUCCUUGAGUAGCUAAAGAAAGCUAGAAUAAAGUACCUCUAGCAACAUCUUCACUGUUUAUUUUCUAAUAGUUUUGUUUUGUUAAAUCGCACUUGAAAAUACAGAACCUGUUCUUGAUAUUUCAUGGACAAUAUUUACUCUAGUUGUGCAAGUAACGUAUACACAAAUACCUGUAAUAUUGCAUCAAAAUUCAAACUAACAACAGUAUGUGUAUACUUGUGGAUAUGGAAUCAGCCAGAAGUGGAGAACCCCAUAAAUCUUGAAAACCUCUGUUGAUUGUGAUGGGUCCAAAAAGCAGAAAGCAAGUUACAAGCUGCCUGCUUUCUGCUAAUAUAUAUAAUGCUGCAUAUAUGACCUAUUUUGUACCAAGGCAAACCAUACAGUUUUAAUUGUUCUUUGAGUUAUAGUGUUAAUUUCACAUAUGGCACGUCAGGUAGAUCGUCUCACAAGGAUUGGAAUGGAAGGCUUUGCUCUGAUUGAGAAUAGUUAUGGCUGGCCUGGAAGGUCUGGAAGACUCCCCUCAACUCAGGUACAGCAAAAUCAUCAUCACUAUCAUCAUCAUCAUCAUCAUCGUCAAUACCAAGAUCAGCAAACAUUGGUUUAUCAGGGAACUCAAAUUACCACGGUGAGGAUGCCUGUGAUCAUUAGCAAUGAGGUAGUUCAAUACUAUGGUAACAUGGUGAAGAAGCCUGUUAUUCCUAGCAAUGAGGCAGCUCAAUAUCAAGGGGGUGUGGUGAAAGAGCCUGUUAUCACUAGCGAUGAGGCAGCUCAAUAGGAUGGUAGAAAGAAACGAUUUCGUUUAGAUUAUUAGGUUUCAUGAAUUUACUGAACAUGCUUAAUGUCAUGUAUGAGUAAUCUGAGUCACUUGGUUCUUAAAUCUCCUGGUUUCUUACUCAUAGAUAAAGCAACUUGGUCUGCUAAAGAACCUUGUAAAUUUUAUCUUUAGAGCUCCUGUUGUCACGCAGUUUUCUUAUCUAUAACGUAAUCAGCUUUACUGUAACUCUUUAUGUCUCUCUCUCUCUCUCUAUUUUUGUGUGUGGGUUGUGAUGAUCUUUCUUACUUCUGAUAAGCCAAAUGAUUCUCAAAGCACACCUUGGAAAACAACAGCUAAGGCAAGGCGAAAUGAAAGCUAAAGCUAGGAAUUAAAGAACAAAACAACAUAGAAUAUGAAGGAAAAAAUGAAUAAAAAAACGAAACAACAGAAUUAAAAAAAUAAAAAAUUAAAACAAAAGGAAAUUAGCCAAAAACAAUUGGAAGAAAAUUACUAUGGUAGGAGUUUAUGUUAAAAGAAAGAUAGGUGUUGUAUAAUAUCAAAAAUAGUAAUGCAAAGUCAAAACUCAAUAAGAAGAAGAAGAUUGAGAGAAACGUAUACUUUUAUUAAGUGUUUCUCUCUAAACUCUUUUAGUUAUUCUCUCUGCUUUUAUUCUUUUUAAAAAUGCUAAAUUACAAGUCUUUUAUAGGUAUAAAGUCCUAGAUAAUCAAGGAAUUAAACUAAUACAAGGAAAUUCUAAUAUGAACAAAAAUUGUAUUCUGCCUACUAGCUAAAUCAGUCGACUAGUUCCCAACCAGUGGAUCGGUUCCUCUAUUCUUCAUAAAAACAAGAAAUCGAGUUCAAUUUUCAAAACCCCUUUCUAAACUUGAUUUCUUCAUAACUCGCACAAAUCUCUUAUUUUGGUAAAAACAUCAUAUUCAACUGGUUUUGUGAAAAUAUCUGCAACUUGCUCUUGUGUCUUUACAUACUUGGCUUCAACUUCUUUGUUUGUAAUGCAAUCUCUUAGGUAAUGAAAUCUUGUGUCAAUGUACUUAUUUCUGUCAUGAAAAACUUGAGUUUUAGCUAAGGCAAUAGCUAAUGAGUUGUCCACAUAAAUCUAUGUAGACUUCUCUUAUGGGAUCCGUAAUACUUUCAGUAAUCUUAUUAGCUAUAUGGAAUGACAAACACAUGAUGUAGUAGUUAUAUAUUUAGUUUCACAUGUUGAUAAAGUGACUAUAGAUUGCUUUUUUAAACACCAUGUGAAUGUUGUGUCUUCCAUGUAGAAAACAAAACCAAUAGUGCUCUUUUUAUCAUCCAUAUCUCUAGCUCAAUCACUAUCAUUGCAACCCACAAUAUCAAAGCUAUUAGAAUAUCCAUAAAACAAGCCAAAAUCAACAGUACCUUUGAUAUACCGAAGAACUCACUUCAAAGCUUUGAAGUGUGUCAUAGUUGGUGUAUCCAUAGACCUACUCCCAAGUUCUACUCCAAAAAGAACAUAUGAACAAGUGCAUGUCAAAUAUCUCAAACUCCCAACUAGGCUUUUGAAUGUUGUAGAGUUUAUCUUCUCCUCUUCAUCAUUCUCUAUUAUCUUCACUCCACACUCAACUAGAAUAUUCUUUUUCGCACAAUCUUUCAUCUUGAACUUCUUGAGAAUCUCUUGGCUUACAAAGAUUCCAUCUUCUCCUUGUUUGAUCUCAAUCCCUAAGUAAUAUGUCAUAAGACCAAUGUCUAUCAUUUCAAACGCCUUGAUCAUUGUUUGCUUGAAGUCUUCAAACAUCUUUGGAUUAUUUCCUAUAAAGAUUAAGUCAUCCACAUACAAACAUAUAAUAAGAGUAUCACCACUCUCUUUGAUCUUUACAUAGAUAGCAUAUUCAUAGGAACAUUUAACAAAUGCAUUCUUUAAGAAAAAGCCAUCAAAGUGACUAUAGCAAGCCCUUGGGGUUUGCUUCAAUCCAUAUAAGACUUUGUUCAACUUUAGUACCUUGUCUUUAUGUCCCUUCACUUCAUAACUCAUAAGUUGCUUAAUGUAGACCUUCUUCUCAAGAAAACCAUUAAGAAAGGCUGAUUUGACAUCCAUUUGAUAGAUUCUCCAUCUAUAUUGGGUAGCUUUGGCAACGAUUAAUUGAACGGUCUCCAAUCUAGCAACGAGAGCUAAAACCUCAUCAUAGUCAAUCUCAUACUUUUAGCUUUCGCCUUUUUUCCACUAACCUUUCUUUGUACCUCUCCAUUUCUCCUUCGGCAUUCUUCUUUUCUUUAUAGAUCCACUUGACACCUAUUAGCUUCUUUCCAUUUGGUCUACGAACCAAUUUCUAUGUGUCAUUCUUCUUAAUUGAUGCAAGCUUCUCAUCCAUAGCGAUUCUUCAUUUUUCAUCCUUUAUUACUUCUUCAAACAUUAUAGGAUCACUUGUAGCAAGGUGAUAAUAUAGUGUUACAUCAUCAUCAAUAGGAGUAGUUACCUCAUAUAGCUCAUCAAGGCUCCACAUUCUUUUUGGUGGACUUGAUGGGUUGCCACUACUUGAACUUUCAUUAGAAAAAAAAAAAGAAAAGAGAUAAAGGUAAAGAUGACACCAUUGGUGAUUAUGGAGGUGUAGUUUGUUCUUGAUGAUCUUCAUAUCUCUCCUUCCCUUUAUCAGAACAGACAAGGCUUCAUCUUCUUCUUUCUUCUUCUUUUAUCUUCUCUCACAGGGCCAUUUCUUUUUCUUUCUCUUCUCUUCUCUCUAUCUCUCCUUCUUAGCUAAAAACAAGCAUUCUAUUAUCUUCUCAUCCUCAAGUACGUUGUCUUUUUUCAUUUUCUUUGGGUUUAAUAACAAUCUAUUUUCUUUUGUUUUGUUUUUCUUUUUUUUUUCCUUUUAAUUAUCAGUCGAAAUUAAGCAUACCAUUAAGGUUGGAAUUUUUCAUUCUUUUCUCUUCCCCUUUUUAUGUUUUUUGCAAUAUUUUUGUUUUUUGUCAUUAUUUUUGUUCAAUUUUGUGUUCUUAAUAAUUUUAUGAAUUAAUAAAUGUGUUGAAUUUUAGUUGUUAUUGAAAUAUUGCAUUAUUUUGUUGAAUUUUAGCUAUUUUUUUUUCAAAUUUGUUGUUCAAUUUUAAUUAAAUGUGUAGGAUUAAUUUUAAUUAUUAUUUUGUAUUUAUUCCAUAUAGAAUAAUUUUUUGUAAAUUUAGGAUUAAAAAUAUUAUAACUUAGAAAUAAUUGUGUUGAAUUUUAGUUGUUAUUAUAAUAUUUUUUGCAUUAUUUUGUUGAAUUUUAGUUGUUUUUCUUUUCAAUUUUGUUGUUCAAUUUCAAUUAAAUGUGUAGGAUUAAUUUUAAUUUUUGUAAAUUUGAAAUAUUUUUUUUUAAAUUUAGGAUUAAAAAUAUUAUCAUGUAGAAAAUGAAAAUUUUCUAUGAAAUUUAAUUAUGCUAAAUUGUUAGAAGAAAUUGAAUAAAAAUACCAGGCCUAGUGGAAGAAAUAUGUUGUGUAUUUGUAGGUUUAAAACUUUUGGGUAGUCUUCUGUGUAGGGGAGGUGCUGCCAAUUGUUUUUAAAAAAAAUACGAAUCAUUUAAUUUUUUUUAUUCAUUAAUUUGUGUAGAUGCCUAUAGAAAAGUCUAAUGCACGUCAUGAGGACAAGAUUGCUGCUAGUUCUUCUAGUAGCGAUGCUGACGACCACGAGUCAUUAGGUGCCAAUAAAAAAUAGGAACUUGAGGCACAUGCAUCAACUCACGACGCGGGCUUGUCGAGUGCAAUGUUGCAACGUCGAGGGGGGGUCCCUUCACAAUGGGAUCCAUUUACUUGCAAGUAUGAGGCCUAGUGGAAGGACGACCUUUCAAUGUAAGUUUUGCUUUCGCAAUGACAUGUUUAAUAAAUUUUCAAAAAAUAAUUUCAUUUAAUGAAUGCAAUUUCAGGUUUAUAAAUAUUGAGGCUGCGAGAACAAUAACAUCGAUCUAAAAUCAUCGAUAGAAAUUUCAUUGUUUUAAUGGAGCUAGGUUUCCAAACAUCCUGAAUGGAAACUGCAGCUCAUUGCAUGAUUUUCAAGGUUCAAGGUUGGUAGUAACUUAAAUAUUUUUUUAUGUUAAUUUGGUUAGUUUAUUGAAAUUAUUGAAUUUUUUCUGAGAGAGUUGGAAAAGCAUUACUGCAAAUAUCACUUCUACUAUUAACUCAUCGACGAAAUUACAGAUGGUAUUCUAUCGGUGAUAUGUUAUAUUUAUCGAUGGAUAUACCGAUGCACAAAUAAAAACACUGAUGACAUUGCAUACAGUAUUCCUGUUUGUGAUAUGUUAAAUUUACCAAUGGAGAUACUGACGGAAUAAAACAGAUAAUUUUUUUUUGGCGUGCUUUGUUUGUCUAUAAAUUCAUUGGUAUAUUUAUUACCGAUGGACUCACCAACAAACCAUAAAUUAUUGGCGAGAGUUUUUUCGAUGGACUGUCUCCAUCCGUGAGCCCGUUGACAAUAUACAUACCAAUGGACUGUGAGUGUGAAUACUGACAAAAAUUUCUGUUAGUAAAAUUGUUAAAUCUAGUAGUGAUUGCAUGAUCCACCGCUAGAAGUGAUGAGUACAAGUUAUGACCAUUUUAAGUUGUUGUUUCUGGUCUGACAUGACUAGACCUUCUCUUGGACCUAGACUUGUCCUACUAGUCUAUAAAUAUAUAUGUUAGAACAUCCAUAUAAUCUGUCUAGAGCAGAUACUCAUCUAAUUGUGGCAGACCCACAUAUGAUAGCUCAGAAUCACCUGUUAUUGCAAGCCCAACUACAUCAUUAAUGGUUUCUCAAGGUAAGUCAUGAGGAAUUUGAAGCAUAUAAAAUGAUAUAACUUGUCCCAAUAUCAUAAAAAUGUUAAAAAAAUGUGAGUAUAUGAACCCAUGAAGCGGGAUCAGAAUCUAUUUUCCUAUUGUUAUUAACAAAACGGAAAGCCAUAACUAACUGUUUGUACUAUAAUAUUGGGAGUGAGAGGUACAAUGUCCAGAAUGCUUCUAAGGAUAACCAUAUGUCCAUAUCCAUAAGAUCUCAAUCGAUUGCCCCUUACUACAGAAUCUAGCACAUCCUUAAGUAAAUAAAGAAAGCUAGAAUAAAGUGCCUUCACUGAUUAUUUAGCAUUACUGAGCAGGCCAAGUCUUCACUGCUUAUUUCCUAAUAAUUCCUUAUUGUGGAAUUGCACUUACAAAUAAAGAACUUGUUAUUGAUAUUUUCGUACAGAAUUUCUCUCUCGAUUAGUCGGUCAAUAAUGUAACUUCGUUUAUUCGGAUUUGAGGCCGGCCAUGAGAUGGAGAGGUUGUGUCACAUUAAUUAUGUCAUGUUAUAUGGAAUCAGAUUCACCAUUAUUAAACUAAAGCGUCUCAUCGAUUCUACGAAACUUGUCGAAAGGAAUCAUUUGUUCAAUAAUUGAAUGCGAUUUUUAUCGGGUUCACCUGACGAUCCAACCUCCAUCCACAAAUCCGGAUCGAAUUCCGAAUGGGUCAAAAUAUCGUCCCCGUAUCUCUCCCUCAACCGAUUAUUAUAGGUCUCCUGAAAAUAAAAAAAGUAAUCAUCAUAUUCAAUUCAAUAAACAUAAUAACUUACAAAAUAAAAUGGUUGAACAAACAUACCAUGAAAUGUUGAGCACGGUUAUCAACGAACUGUUGCGCCCCCUUUUGGCGGUCUUGACUCCGCACGUGCGUCUCCACAAACAGCUCCAUCGGGCUUGGCUCACGUCCAAGAGACGUAGCCUAUAAUGAAAAAAGAUUUAUUAACAACUUAAUUUAACGAUAUAUUUCAUUUAAAUUAAUCUUACCAUCCGUUUCGCAUGUGUAGCAAACGGAACGGAGCCGCCAGUGUGCGUUGUUACUGAGCCAUGAAUUGGCCGAUUCCGGUUGCCAACACCGGACUGUGAGCGUCGUGUAAACCGCUCAGACAUCACGUGCUCAAGAUAGUGCGGCCAUAUAUCUUUUGGGAUGUAUAUCGGUUUGAAAUUCCUCCAAACCGUAACAUCGUUCCAGCCUUGGAAACCCCUAUCUCUAGCGGUUUUUUUUGCCCUUUUUUGUGCUUCAUACCAAAAAUCACGCAACCAAAAAUUACAUUUCGAAAGAUAAAUUUUUGUCUAAAAAACAUCUUGUAUUGUUUUCGAUGUUACCUAGUUGCCGCGUGAUUUUCCCACACCCUCCUCGCAACAGUGUUAUGCUCACUGUCCCAGCAGAAUUUGUCCUGUGUAUAAAUAAUUAAUUUUAAAUAAAAAUAAUAAUUUAUUUACAAUUAUAUUAAUAAUUUAUUAGAAAUAAGCUGAAAAUUAUAAAUUAACACCAACCUCAAAUUUGUCAAACCAUGCAUUGAUUUGAGGCAUCCAUUCAGGAUGCUUGGAUAUCUGACUCCAUUGAAACAAUGGAAUCUUCAUCGACGAUUUAAACGCCGAUGAUAUUACUCGGGCAGCCUCAAUGUUUGUGAACCUGAAAAUAAAUGAAAUAAAUUCAAUAGUGAUUACUUCAUAAGUUAUGUUGUAAUUUUUUUUAAAAAAAAAAACUAAAACCUUAACAAACUUACAUUGAAAGGUCGUCCUUCCACUGUGCCUCGUACUUGCGGGUAAAUUGAUUCCGCUGCGAAGGCACGCCGCCUCUGCCCUGUGAAGUAGCGCUGGAAGAGGCAGCAUUGGUUGACGACGCAGGUGGUGUAGGUGCCUCUUCUUGAGAGGCACCUAAGGAAAUAUCAUCCUCGCUGCUAGACGAACUAGUUGCGACCAUACGUGAGCGACCAGCUUUGGUUUUCAUUCUACGCACCUACACAAUUUUAUACAAAUAAUUAUAUAAUUAAAUUCAAAUGUUAAAAAAAAAUUCGACAGCAUCUCCCCUAUACUGGAUACUACCCAAAUCUACAAACCUGCACAUAUUAACAAUAGCCACAACCAAUUGACCCAAUCUAUACUAACUAUUCCAACAUAUUCAAUUACUAAUCCUAAGGUAAUUCAACAUUAAGAAUUACAAUUCAACAAAUUAUUCAAUAAUUAUGCCAAUACAACAAUAAAAUAUAUUCAAUAAAUAAAUAAAAACUCUAGACUAACAAUUAAAAUUAAUGGAAAAAAUUAAACAUAAAUCAUGCAAUAAUAGAGUAAAAUUAACAAUUAUUUCAAAAUAUUCAAUUACUAAUACUAAGGUAAAUUCAACAUUAACAAUUACAAUUCAAAAAAUUAUUCAAUAAUUAUGCCAAUACAACAAAACAAUAAAUUCAAAAAAAACUCUAGACUAACAAUCAAAAUAAAUGGAAAAACUUAAACACAAAUUAACUAAUAAUAAUUAUGCCAACACAACAAUAAAAAAUAUUCAAAAAAUUCAAAAAAAAAACUAUAGACUUUAGGAAUCAAAUAUGCUUACUUUAAUAAUGUGUUGAAUUCAAUACUUUAUCUACAUUACAAAAAAUACACCAAAACAAAAAACAUAACAAAAAAAAAUAGCAAAAAAAAAACCCCUAAAGUAAAAUGAAAUAGAAGACACACAUACCUUUUAAACUGAUGAAGAUUCACAAGAAAACUUGCUAGAGAUGGUAGGUGAAAGCUUUGAAGAAUGGAGAGGAAAAAAAUCGAAAUUUAAGGUGAAAAACGGAGGAGAAGAAAAAAUGAACUGAAGGGGCGGUCGCUGGAACUUAUAUGGCAGUUUUACCGACGGAUUCACCGAGGGAUAUAAAAUUAAUUAUUAUUUUAAUUUAUUCUGUCAGUGAAGUGUCAAAAAUCCGUCGGUAAUUUUUAAAUUUCGCACCAAAAUUUUUAAUGACCCUCCAUAUUUUUCGUGGUCUGUCGGUAAUUUCGUCGGCAAGAUGACGCGGUCAGAGAUGCAUUUAAUGCACAAUCUUUUGGAAUUCGCACAGUCCGUCGGCAAUUUUGUCGGUAAAAUUGACCUGCCGACAACUUACCGACGGACUUAUAUCCGUCGGUAUUGUCGUCAGUGAUUGUGGCAUUUCAAGUAAUUAUUUUCGAACUCUCUGUGAAAUGCCGACGGACUUAUUCUGUUAGUAUGGACGUCGGUGAUUGUGGCAUUUCAAGUAAUUAUUUCAAGUAAUAAAUAUUUCAUGUUACAAAAUAUAUCAUUCAUAAUCUAAAUUACAUGAAAAAAGGGGUUUUACACAGGGCUUCAUUUUGAUAGUUAGUCAGAAUUUUCUUCUUCUUUGUCCUCAAUUGAAUAGUCAUCACCUUUAUCGCAAUCUUCAAUAUGGAUAUCAUCUUCUUCAUCGACAUUUGCUUGUCCGCUAGAGCUCAAAACAGCAUUCAACUCCUCUACGUGAACAUCAACAAGACUAUCAUCGAAAACAUGAAAAUUUGAAUUUUCUUCCAAUUCAAUCGAAUGAGCAACUCAAUAUGGUUCAACCACCUCACUAACUUGAAAGACUUCAUCUCGCACACUUGUGUCUUCGUUCUCAUCCUGAACAACCUCGACACGACCCCGGGGUUUUGUUUUUAAAACGGACAACCAAUCCACUCUUGAUCGAUCCUUUCUAAAUGAAGGGGUGUAUGUGUAAUAAACUUGUUGACAUUGCUUUGCGAAAACAAAGACAUCGUUUUUGUUGCGGAGUCUAGCUUUUGAGUUGAUUUCGACCAGACCAUAGUGCGGAUCAACUCUGAUUCCUCUGUCAGUCGUGUCAUACCAAUAACAUUUGAAUAAAAACACUUUAUUCUACUCGUUAUGAUAUUGCAGUUCGACGACCUCUUCUAAUCUACCAUAGUAGUCAACUUCUAACUCACUACUAGUGGAUCCCUUAACACAAACACCGCUGUUGUAUGUCUUUCUUCCUUGCCCGUAUUCUUCAGUAUGGAAAACAUAUCCAUUGACAAAAUACCCGUUGUAGCACUUACAUUUUCUUUCAGGCCCCAGGCUUAGUGAAGACAAUGACUUAGGCGCACUCCUUCCCAUUUGAUAAACCUUGUAUGUAAUGUACAUCAAUAAAUAGUAAAUGAACGAGAAUCUCAUAAUGACAUGCAUACGUACAGUAAUUUUGCAAGUUAGAAUGAGUUUGUGAUAGUGCUUACAUGUGUUCUAGACCACGUGACAAAGUGUUCAUCUUGUAAUUGAAAGAUCUGGGAUUCGGUCAGCUAUGAGUUAUUGGAGAGCAAAUAUUGUCGAUGUUGCCUGCAAGUGAUAAUGAGUGUAUGAUAUUAUAAUAAAUAAUUAAUAGUAUAUUACUAACAAAGUUUAAUUACUAUACACAUAUAUAUAUAUAAACCUUACUGAAUAAAAGGUCUCAGCUCAUCACAGUUAAAUAUAACAUAUUUGUGUGCUUAUUUGAACUCUAUUUCCGACAAAUAUCUUCCUCUUACGCCAUUUUUAGGUGUGGGUCGUCCAGUGUUAGAGAAUAUUGACAAGUUUCCACUGGAAGGCACUUCACCGCCAUCAUCAUACCGUGGAACGCGAUUGAUUCUCAUUCUUAGAUGAGGUUCGAAAUAGUACGAUAUAAAUGUUGAGAUCUCCUCAACAAUAUAGGCCUCACAUAUCGAAGCCUCAACGUGCGCCUUGUUCUUAACCUUUUUCUUGAGAUUAAACAAGUACCUGCAUUGAAUUAAUCAAGUAUUUUCAAUUAAGAAAAACAUAGAAAAUACUUUUAUAUAUGAAUUACAUUGCAACUGUAAUAUCUAACAGUUCGAAUGGGUACAUCCAUCUAUAUUGGACCGGUCCUCCAGCUUUUGCCUAGAACGGUAGAUGUAUAGGGAGAUGCUCCAUUGAGUCAAAAAAUGAUGGAGGGAAUAUCAUCUCAAGUUUGCAUAGUGUCUCAACGAUAUUCGUUUGAAGCCUCUCAAUGUGCUCAACAUUCAACUUGCUGGAGCAUAUAUCUCUGAAGAAAUGACUGAUCUCCGUAAGUGCAUCUCAUAUUCCCUUUGGCAACAAAUCACGAAAAGCUAAUGGGAUGAGUGUUUGCAUAAACACGUGGCAGUCAUGACUCUUCAUUCCAUACAAUCUGCAGUCCUCUAUAUUAACCAGCCUUGAUAUGUUUGAUGCAUGUCCAUCUAGAAAACGUAGACUCUUAAGCCAUUUAUAGACUAGCAGUUGUGCGUUUUUCUCUAACACGAAGCUUGCUCUUGGUUUUGCGACCUGUGACUCAUCAUAAAACAACUCCAUAUUUUUACGGUUACAGUAUAAAGCUAUAUCCAAUCUAGCCUUGAUGUUGUCCUUUGUCUUCCCCUUCACAUCCAUGACGGUGUUGAAAAUGUUCUCAAACACGUUCUUUUCGAUGUGCAUGACGUCAAGGUUAUUGCGGAGCAUAUUGGUCUUCCAAUAAGCAAGCUCCCAAAAGAUACUUCGCUUUACCCAAUUAUGGGUCAAACCAAAACCAGGAAACUUUUGCUUACCUGAUUGAAGGCCAAACACAAUGUCACCGUACUCUGAUACAACAUCAUGCAAUUCUUCACCAGAAAGACGCGGGGAUGCAACAUCUUUUUCAACUCUGCCAACAAAGAAAUCUUUUCUGUUCUUUCUAUACCUGUGAUUAAGUGGCAAGAAACGACGGUGACAGUAAAAAAAAGAAGCUUUACCUCCGUUUGCUAGCGUGAAUGCCUUGUUGUUUUCCAUGCAGUAUGGACAUGCGAGUUUCUCAUGCGUGCUCCAACCAGAAAGCAUUCUAUAAGCUGGAAAAUCAUUGAUAGUCCACAUCAAAGCAGCCCUCAUAAGGAAAUUUUGUUUCCUCGAUAUAUCAUAAGUCAGAGCUCUGGAGGACCACAACUGCGCCAACUCAUCAAUCAACGAUCGAAGACAAACAUCUAUAUUCCGCCCUGGGCUGCUUGGACCGGGUAUGACAGUAGAUAAAAACAUGAACUCCGGCCUCAUACACAUUCCCGGUGGCAAGUUAUAAACUGUGAGUAUGACCGGCCAACAAGAAUAAGGAGCAGCAAAUGACCCAAAUGGGUUGAAUCCGUCUGUACACAACCGAAGACGCACAUUCCUUGAUUCAGCUGAAAAGUGAGGAUGAAGACUGUUAAAGCAUUUCCAUGCUUCGCCAUCAGAAGGAUGCACCAUCACUCUAUCAACCGCAUUAUGUGCUUGGUGCCAUGUCAUGUGCUCAGCAGUCCUUGGUGACAUGAAUAACCUCUACAGUCUAGGUGUGAUCGGGAAGUAUCUAAGUUUUUUAUAUGCCACUAGAGUCUUUCCCCUGCCAGUUCUCGGUUUGUAACGGGAAUGCCCGCAUGUCAUGCACUCUGUCCUCUCAGCAUUUUCAAGGUAGUAUAACAUGCAGAAGUUAGGGCACAUGUCAAUUUUCUGGUAUCCUAAACCGAGGGGUUUCAUCAUGGACUUCGCAGCAUAGAAGUUCUCUUUCAGCCUGUCCCCUUCAAGUAAAAUUCUUCUCACCCAUUCAAUAAUGUUGUCAUACCCGACCUCACUCAACCCGUGAUCUGACUUGAUGGUGAACACCUGUGCUAGGGCCGAUAAUUUACUGUGGUUCGUGCAGCCAUCCCAUAAUGGUUCAUCAGAAUCUUUCAACAAAUCAAAAAACCUAGCUGCAUCUGCAUUAGGUUCUUCUUCUACGAUUCGACAUUGACUGACAUUACCUUGAUUCAUUCUCAUUGCAUCCAUAACUAUAUUUAUGUAAGGAUUAGUGUUGUCAUUUGCCGCUUCAUGCACGUUGCUAGCACUAGAAGUAGACCCAACCACCGUUUCUCCCAUUCUCCUCUUACUAACAAAUACUUCUCCAUGUGCAUACCAACACUGGUAAUUCUCCAUAAACCCUUUGUGUAGAAGAUGCAUCAUUACAACAUCUGGAUGCAGAUAUUUUUUAUUUUGACACUUCCUGCAUGGACACCUAAUACCGCCUCUAGUAAAAUUUAUCGGAAUAGAUGUUGCGAAAUUAAUAAAACCUUGAACCCCGUUACAAUAAUCAAUCCUCCGCAAUCCUUGGGGUGAAUCUCAAUACAUCCAUGAACGAUCAUCCAUGACUUAUAUCGAACCUCUAUAAAAUUAUGAUGACAUCAUGUAUUAAUUAACUAAGUUAGGUAAAUAAACUUGUAAAAAUAUUACUUUACCUCGAGAUUAUCCAACAAACCAAUCACAACUUCUCAUAAAUAUUAAAUAUUCAUUAUCAUUUAUCAACGUCCAUACAAAUUAAUAUAUAUAAAUUUACAGAAAUUACCACUCUGCAAUACCAUUAAUAAAACUUUAAACAGACCCAUUAAGCAAGCUAUUAAUUAUUUCAAAACAACACAUGUAAUUCAGUAAUUCCAUAAAGUUUUAACAAUUUACAAACAAAUACAAUCUUACAAAAUCUAAAACAAACCAUAACAGGUAUAGAAUUAUACAUUCAUAUACUACAAGUUUGUUUGAGAAAUAACAAUAAAACAUGUACAUCUACUAACAAAAUACAUAUACUAAAAAAACAAUAAAAUUGACAUUUAAAUGUUAAAAUUUAAAAAGAUAGAAUUACUUACAAAAAUUGAUAAAAUCCGUCGGUAAAUCAGAAUAUGGAUGUUGUGACCACAAAACUUUCAAGAAAUAUAACUUGUUGUGCUGAGAUGAGGGAGAUUUUUGUUUGGGGGGGGGAGGGGGGCUGGUUGUUUGCAGAUGGGGAGAGUUGGGAUUAGGAAGAAGAAGGAGAAAUAGGGGAGGAGAGGGUCGGUAGAGAGGGCAUUUAUUAACUUUUUCCGACGGUUUCACCGAUGAAAUUAUCAAUUGAUGAGUCCGCCAGCUAUUCUGACGGAAAAAUCGACACGUCACCGUAUGGAUCUUCCAUUUCGAAUCCCUCGGUGAUUCCGUCGGUAUUUCAAGCAGUGAACCGGUCACGUCACCGUACGGAUCUGCCAUUUCGAAUCCCUCGGUGAUUUCGUCAGCAUUUUAAACGGCGAACCGGUCACGUCACUGUGUGGGGUUGUCGUUUUGAAUCCGUCGGUAAAAAUAACCCCGCCAAAACCUCUACGUUUGCGACCCGCCUUUUUUUUUAAAUUCAAAACGUUUUCCGUCCGUAAUUCAGUCGGUAACUACCGACGGACACUUGUUGUCGGUAGUUACCGACUGAAUUACGGACGGAAAGGUUUUUGUCGGUAAUUUCGACCUCAAAUUACUGACAGAAAUAUUCCGUCGGUAAAUCCGUUGCUAUUGAGUGAAUUUCUAGUUGUGAAAGGGGCGCAUACGUACCACCCAUCUGUGAUCUCAAUCCAUGGCCAUUCUACGGGUUCAUCAUAAUCCGCAUAGAGUCGUUCAUAUUCUUCAAUGAGAUGGGUCGUAUGUUGUUCCAAGGUCGCGAACUCCUGAGACUGGGUGGUCAAUAUCGAUUGCAAGCUCCCAACGGUUGAGACACUACGGGCCACCUACAAGUUGGUCGUGGAGUUGGAGAGUUUGUACACCUGAUUUCUAUCGGGUCCACCAGAUGAUCCUGCCUCCAUCCACAAAUCCAGAUCGAAAUCCAAGUGGGUCGAAGGAUCGUUCCCGUAUCUCUCCCUCAAUCGGCUGUUAUAUGUCUCCUGAAAAUAAAAAAACUGAAAUCAUCAAAUUUAAUUCAAGUAAAUAAUAAUUUACAAAAGAAAAUGGUUGAACGAACAUACCAUAAAGUGUUGAGCGUAGUAGUCAACGAACUGUUGCACCUCUUUUUGGCAGUCUUCACUCUACACGUGCGUCUCCACAAAAAGCUCCAUUGGGCUUGGCUCACGUCCAAGAGCUGUAGUCUGUAAGAAAAAAAUGUUGCAAGUAAAAUAAAUUUAUAAAUAACAACAAAUUAAUUAAAGAUAAAUGUGAUUAAAAUUAAUUUUUUUGUUAUUUUUUAGGCUUUGUUUGGAAAAACAAAACCUAAUUUUUUUGUAAUAAAACUGUCGAAACAAGCAUAAUGGGGUGUUUGCCAAACACACCCUUAAACCAAAAAACCCUUUUAGCAAAAAUAUUGCAAGCUAAACAGGGUCUUAACCCUUUGACCCAUUCUUGACCCAUCUGGGUUGACCUGAUCGAGUUGACCUGACUGGGAUGACCCAAAAUCUUUGGUUUCAACCAUAAAUCGAACCAAAGAUCCUGGUUUGACCCGAAAACAACUCAAAAAGAAAACAAAAGCCAAAAAACAGAUUAAACACCAAAAAACAUGAAAAAACUCGAAAAUAACAAAUCAAAUGCAAAAAAAAAUGAAGAACACGAAUAACAUGAAAAACAUUAAAACUCAAAUUCUAGCAACAUGAAUUCUAAUCUAGACCAUAUUUCAGGAAAUAAAAAGCACAUAAAGGAUGGAAAUCAAUCAUUGAACAAUAAUUAAGCAUCAAGCAUCGAUGAUUAUCAACCAAUAAUCAUGAUUGAGUCAAAAUAGGUUUUGGUUCAAAACCAAAAUCCUAUGAUUAAAACCCCCAUAAAACUUGUUAUUGAUACAAAUGAACUCUAGACUACUAAUUAAUCAAGUCCAAUGAAGUGUUUAAUGCAAUGGACCAAAACUGGUCCAAAACAUAGAUAUAAGCCAAUGUUUUUCCCAAGAACAUAGAACACUGCCUUAGAAAACCCGGCUAUUGUCAAGCCACCAAAACUGGCAUUUUCGACCACUAAAACAUGCUUUCUUCGUUUCAAAAAGUCACACUACCAUAACCAAACAUGUUUGAAUAAAAAAACUAACAAAUAACAUUAAAAUCAUGCAAGAGGUUCCAAACUUCAAAACUACAAACUUAAAAUAGCCUAUAUAUUUAUGCAAUUUGGAUUCAAUUUUUUUUCCUAAACCUUCAAUAAGACCCAACCAAAACCUAGAAACUAAGAACAUGCAUCAGCCAACAUAAAAAAACAUCAUAACCUUGCUACCACAUCUAGUAGAUUUCAAAAGUACUUUAUUUCAUCAAAACUCAUCCAACAAACAUCACCUAAGUAUUCAGAGACAUUAACAAACAACUCAAAUCAAGAUUUAAACAAUAAAACAACUUUUUUAUGUAUUAAUCAAAAUCAAAACUAAAGAACAUCAUAACAGUAAAGCAAGUUUGAAAACAUCAUUAAACAUGUAAAACAAGUGACUCGACUAACUCGGAAGGAAGUUAAGUUUGAAUGGUCAAAAGAGUGUGAAACAAGUUUUCAAGAGUUAAAAUCCAGGCUAACUUCAACCCAGUAUUGGCUUUACCAAAAGGACAUGAGGGAUUUGUUAUGUAUAGGGAUGCUUCCAAUAAGGGUUUGAGUUGUGUAUUUAUGCAGCACGGAAGGGUAAUUGCUUAUGCAUCUAGAUAGUUGAAACCACAUGAGAUAAACUAUCAUGUACAUGAUUUGGAGCUGGCAGCUGUGGUGUUUGCUUUGAGGAUAUGGAGACAUUAUUUGUACGCGAUAUAGGAGAUGGAUGGAGCUAAUCAAAGAUUAUUACAGAUCACAAAAGUUUAAAAUAUUUGAUGUCAUAAAAAGAAUUGAAUAUGUGAUAUAGGAGAUGGAUGGAGCUAAUCAAAGAUUAUAAUUGUAUUAUUGACUAUCACCCGGGGAAAGCAAAUGUGGUGGUAGAUGCUCUAAGUCGGAAGAAUAAAGCUUUUAUUAGUGGUUUACUAGUGCUAAGUGAGCUAAAUGUGCAUUUGGAUGUGACUUCAGGAGGAAUAUUACUGGCAACAUUAGUGCUAUAAUCAGAUAUGAGAGAAAAGAUUCGAAAAGCUCAAGGUGAAGAUCCUGAAGUGAUAAAAGAAAUGAACAAUGUAAAAGUAGGCCAAGACUCUUUAUUUCGAGUGUCAAAAGAUGGGCUAGUUAUGGGAAACAUAAUAUAUUUACCUGAUGAUAAGGUUUUAAAAAGUGAAGUCUUAAAAGAAGCUCAUGAGUCUAAAUUGACGAUCCAUCUAGGGAGCACGAAAAUGUAUAGAGAUUUGAAGGAGAGUUACUGGUGGCCAAAAAUGAAAAGGGAGAUAACAUAAUACGUGGCCAAAUGUGCCAUAUAUCUACAGGUGAAUGUAGAGCAUCAAUGGCCGAUUGGAGAAUUACAAUCUCUUUCGAUUCCAGAAUGGAAAUGGGAGAAUAUCACUAUGAAUUUUGUAUCUAGCUGGUAAGGACUUGAUGCCAUAUGGGUGAUCGUGGAUAGACUGACAAAGUCUUCUUUGUUUUUGCCUAUGAAGAUAGGGGAUUCGGUUGAAUAACUAGCUCAAUUAUAUAUUAAAGAGGUGGUGAGAUUGCAUGGUGUACCAGUUUCUAUAGUUUUUGAUAGGGAUCCUUGGUUUACAUCAAGGUUAUGGCCGAGUAUACAAUGGGCUUUGGGUACCAUAUUGAAUUUAAGAAUGACUUUUCAUCCACAGACUGAUGGGCAAUCUGAAAAGACAAUUUAGAUUUUGGAAGAUUUGUUAUAGCUUGUAUUCUAGAGUUUGGAGGUCAAUGGGAGGAUCAUUUGCCAUUAGUAGAAUUUACUUAUAAUAAUAGUUAUCAAUCUACUAUUGGCAUGAAACCAUAUGAAGCAUUGUAUGAAAGGUGAUGUCGAACUACAGUACGUUGGGAUGAAGUUCGGGAAAGAAAAUUAUUGGGAUCUGAACUGGUGCAGAUCAUGGUUGAUAAGGUGAAGGGGAUAAAGUAAAGGAUGAAAGAAGCUCAAGACCGGUAAAAGAGUUGUGCUGAUAAUUGACGGAGACCUCUAGAGUUUCAAAUUGGAGAUAUGGUAUUUUUAAAAGUUGCACCAUGGAAGCAUGUGAUUCGGUUUGGAAUGAAAGGCAAAUUAGCACCCAGGUAUAUCGGGCCAUAUAAAAUUAUAGAAAGAAUUGGGAUGGUUGCCUAUCGAAUAAUCCAAUCCUUAGAUUGAGCUGAAAUUUUACGAGGGACUUUAAAAUAUAUUGAAUAAAAUUUGGUUAAAAUUUUAGGAUGAACAGAGCUCGGUGUUGCUUAAAAAAAAUUAGGACCUUCAAAUAGAAGCAAAAUGACUCAUUAAGGGUAAAAUGAUUAUUUGCCAUUAAAAAUAAAACAAAUCAGCUCUCCUUUCCUUUUAUAUGCUGCCGACUGGGCAGAAGCAGAGUGGGAAAAGAAGAAAAGAAAAAAAGCGAGUGAGAAAGAGAGAAAAGUAAGGAAAAAAUAAGAAAAGUGAGAGAAUAAUCUUGUAAACUUACAAAGUCCAACUUAUAAAACACUAAUCUAAGGAAGAAUCAAGUGAAGGAAGGAGGAUUUGAGAGAGAGAAUUUGGCUAACCUUGGGAGAGAAGAGAAAUUGGAAGAAAGUCAAUUAGUAAGUAUGAGAAGUUUGGAUUUAAUGUUUGAUUUAGAUGUUUUUAAGCUAACUCGAUUAAGUUAGGAAGUAAUUUCAUGGAAUUUUACUUUAAUUUCCCUUAAAUCCUUGAUUCUUGAACUUAGGAUUCUUAUGGGAAUUUGGGGGAAUUAGAAAGGGAAGGAAAAAUGAUGAAGUAAGUGGAAUAGCAUGAAAACAAGUUGAAAUAACAAGUAAAUGAAGAAAAAUUUGGGGGAGGAAAAAGAAGAUGACAUUUGGCCAAAUGAAGGAAAAGUGGAGGAAUGAGUUUUGAUGUUAAUGUUUAGGAAACUAUGUUUAAUCAUGAUAUUUGAAAUAUACAAGAAAGACUAAAUGAAGAAAUAACAUUAAAGUUGAGAAAAAUAAGUAAAUUCAAUUUAAAAGAGAAUUGAACUAGUUAAAAAGAAAGUAUGAAGACAAGAUGUUUAGAUUGUGUUUGAAUAUAGUUCUUACAUAUGUUUAGAUAAAAUAAAUAAUAUGAUGUGAAGGCAUAAAGAAUAGAAGGAUUAUUUGAUGGAAGAAUUAUGAACAUAAAGUAAGAAAAGAAGUCAAAAAGGUCAUUCUCAGUCUUCACACUUCAUGCACAAGGAAAUAAUAUGUUUAAUUCGUCAAUCGACUCAUAGCCAACACUGUAACAAAUGUUUGGGAUGAAGGGAAAAGUAUAGAUUUUUCUCAUUAGAGAAAGAAACUGCAUAAAAUGUGAAUGCUGUAAUUAUUUUCAAAGAACUUAACCAUAAAUCCACCCUUCUUGCAAGGAACAAAGCCUUCUUCCCUAUAUUUUCAAAGAAUGCUAUAAUUAUUAUGGUGAAUCAUGCAAGCAUAUCCCACUACCAGAAAAUUGAUAAAUACAAACGGAAAUACCGAGGGAAUAUUUCCGUCGGUAAAUUUCCGAGGGAUUUUACCGACGGAAAUAUUCCCUCGGUAUAUACCGAGGGAAUUACCGUGGGAAAAAAAAUUAAAACAAAGCAAAAAAAAAAUGAUGACGUGUCAUUUUUACCAACGGAAUUACCAACAGAAUUACCGACGGAAUAAAUUCCGUCGGUGAUUCCGUUGGAAAAUUUGUUGGUAAAUUGUGAACACUGUUCAUCAUGUUAAUUACAAAGGGAAUCACCGACGGAAUAUUCCGUCGGUAUUUUCCAGAGGGAAAAGUCGUCGGUGUUAUUUGGCGGUUUUCUGAAAAAAUUCAAUUAAUUUAAAAUUUUCAUUUAAAUAUUACAGACGGAAUCACCGACGGAUUGAAAAAUCAUCGGUAAUUUUUUGGCGGUUUCUGAAAAAAUUUUACGAAAUUGAAAAUUUAAAUUAAAUAUUACCGAUGGAAUUACCGACGGAAUAAUUAAAAAAUAUUAAUAUUUAAUUAUCCGUCGGUAAAUCCGUCGGUAAAGCGUCCCAAUAAAAAGCCUGAAUGCCCUUAUUUCACAAGAGACAGACCCGUUUCUUAUUAUUAUUCUUCUUCUUGUUCUUCUACUUCUUCUUCUUCUUCUUCUUCUUCUUCACUAUAUGUAAAAAACAUCAUUAAGGUAUGUCUUCUUCUUCUUCUUCACUUUAUGUAAAAAACAUCAUUUCUUAUCUAUUUCUUUCUCUUCUUUUCUCUCCUCAUCUCCUUCUCUUUUCCUCCAUGCUUGGAUAUGUCUUUUUCUUCUUUCUUCUUUUAUCCUCUUAGUUUUUUUUUAAUUAAUAUGCUUAAUGAAAUUUUUUUUCUCUCCUUAGCUUCACUUGCAACUACAUUAAGGUAAGAUUUUUCUUUUUUCUUCUUUUUUCAUGAUUUGUUUCACUAUAUUUGUUCUUUAUUUUAUUUUUAAUUGUUUUUGUUCUUAAUAAUUGUAUAAAUGUUGUUGUGAGAUGUUUUUUUCAUAUGAGAUCAAUUUUUAGUAGAUUUAUUUAUAGGAUUUUUAAAUUUUUAGCAAUUGCAACUUCAUUUUUUUCAUAUGAAUUUUUUUAGUUGAAUUUAUUUUUUUAUUUUAUUUAUUUGUUGCAAAUUUGUUUGAAUUGAUUUUCUUAUUCUUUUUUCCAAGCAUUUUGAGUAUAUAUUAUACAGUGUUAAUUUAUGUCAAUUUAAUUAUUUUAUAAUUUUAUAAAAUGAAUUUUUUUAAAAUGUUUUUCAAUAAUUACCGACGGAAUUACCGACGGAAGUUCCGUCGGUAAUUCCGUCGGUACAUCCCUCGGUAAUUCUGUUGGUAAUAAAAAAAUUAUUACCGACGCGUCUGUUCCGUCAGUAAAUCCAUCGGUAAUUCUAUUACCAACAGAUUUACCGACGAACGAUUCACCGACGAAUCAUUUCCGUCUUUGAUUCCGUCGGUAAUAUAAUUACCGAUGAAAUAUGUGUCUUACACCGACGGAAAAAUUCCGUCGGUAAAACUGUUAAAUCUUGUAGUGUCCAGAAUGAUUUGAUAUUUCUUAAUUGAAUUUUGGAAAAGUCGUGAUACUUGGUAAAGCCUUUGGAUAGUUUCUCUGAGAUGUGAUGGAAUUAACAACAUAUUGAGAAUAAUAAAAAAGAAAAAGCAACUGAAUCAAUGAUCAAAAGUUGUGAAAAUUAUAUCUUUCUUUGAAGAUUUUGAUUUUGACCACAGUGAACCUAUAAGCUUAGAUAGAGAGGGCUUCUAUGAUUUCUAUAUAUACGGACUAGCUUGGCUUCAAACCAUAUGUACAAGUCAAGCUCAAACUCAGAACCUACUUAAACUGUUUCUUCUUCUUAUUUUUUAGUGUCAUUUUGCAAAUGGCUCGCCAAGCAGAUCGCCUUUACAAGAUUGGGUUAAAAGGGUUUGCACUAAUAGACGAGUGGUACGGGUGCCCUAGGAGGUCUUCAACUCCUCAAGAGCACCAUCAGCAACGAUAUGAUUAUGGUGGAAUCCAAGUUCCCAUGAUGAAAAUGGAUGUUAUCAACAACAAGGAGGCAGCUAAACAUUAUGGUGGGGUGGUGAUUAUGGAUUAUCGAAAGAAAAAAUUACUCUAUUGAGCUCUUUAGUGAUAAUGUAUUGGGCCUUGCUUUGCUUGGUUAAGUUAAUUACCAAGCAUAAUUAAGUCGUUUUUAACUUUAUUGUUUUCUUCUUCUUUUUCCUAUGUUUGUGUGUGUGUAUGCCAAUUGUUUUAGAGUCAGCUACUCCAAAACAUGAAAAAGUAUGAGUGCCUUAAAGUGAAUUGUUGCACCUCUUAUUUCUCUAUGAUUACGAUUGUUGGGUUUCUUGAAAUACAUGACAUAGUGAAAAUAGUUUUUUCAAGUCUCAUGUAUCUCAUUAAACAACAUAAACUUAUUUAAGAUUUGUGCGAAAAUUGUAUGAAGAUAGUUCUUCCUCCUAGAAUUUGAUCAACACUUGAAGGCUGCAUUCUCGUAAAUCAAGUCCUUACUUGAUUUUUCUAAAUCUAGAAUUUUAAUCUCAUGUGCUAAUUAUAUUAUAGUUUUCANNNNNNNNNNNNNNNNNNNNNNNNNNNNNNNNNNNNNNNNNNNNNNNNNNNNNNNNNNNNNNNNNNNNNNNNNNNNNNNNNNNNNNNNNNNNNNNNNNNNAAAAAUGUAUUAUUCUGUAUUUGUAAUCUUAGUUUGUUUACUUGCAAUUGUUAUGAAUUAUGUGUGUUAAUGGGAAAGAAAUGAGCAUGCGAAAUGUGAGGCAUGUACCAUGAAUGAUGUGUUGUCAAGGUUCUACAUGAUUAUGAUAUGAUUGAGAAAUGAGUAUAACUAUACAGGAUGAUUGUCGAUAACUUGGGACCUCCAGGUAUAAAGGAAACUCUGCCGAAAUUUCAGUGGAAAUUUUGGCAACUCUCGGAUAAGUUCGGUGGAUGAAAAAAAAAAAUACCCAUUUUUUUAAAAGUUAAGGCUCAAAGUACUUUGAUGAAUGUACUAAAUUACAGGGUGUUACAAUUUCUGUAUCGGAUUCUUCAAGGAUAGUUUAAAUGUCUCAAAAGUUUAAAAUUUAAAAUAAAUUUAAAAAAAAUAAUUAGGAUUGCUGUUUUGGAUUUUUCAAGGAUAGUUAAAAGUCUUAAAAUUAUAACAUUCAAAAGAAUUUAAACAAAGGAAUUAGGAUUUCUGUUUUGGAUUCUUCAAGGAUAGUUUAAANNNNNNNNNNNNNNNNNNNNNNNNNNNNNNNNNNNNNNNNNNNNNNNNNNNNNNNNNNNNNNNNNNNNNNNNNNNNNNNNNNNNNNNNNNNNNNNNNNNNUCGCCGCGUCGCCGCGCACCCCGCUAUAAUUAUUAUGGUGAAUCAUGCAUGCAUAUCCAGAAUGAUUUGAUAUUUCUUAAUUGAAUUUUGGAAAAGUCGUGAUACUUGGUAAAGCCUUUGGAUAGUUUCUCUGAGAUGUGAUGGAAUUAACAACAUAUUGAGAAUAAUAAAAAAGAAAAAGCAACGGAAUCAAUGAUCAAAAGUUGUGAAAAUUAUAUCUUUCUUUGAAGAUUUUGAUUUUGACCACAGUGAACCUAUAAGCUUAGAUAGAGAGGGCUUCUAUGAUUUCUAUAUAUACGGACUAGCUUGGCUUCAAACCAUAUGUACAAGUCAAGCUCAAACUCAGAACCUACUUAAACUGUUUCUUCUUCUUAUUUUUUAGUGUCAUUUUGCAAAUGGCUCGCCAAGCAGAUCGCCUUUACAAGAUUGGGUUGGAAGGGUUUGCACUAAUAGACGAGUGGUACGGGUACCCUAGGAGGUCUUCAACUCCUCAAGAGCACCAUCAGCAACGAUAUGAUUAUGGUGGAAUCCAAGUUCCCAUGAUGAAAAUGGAUGUUAUCAACAACAAGGAGGCAGCUAAACAUUAUGGUGGGGUGGUGAUUAUGGAUUAUCGAAAGAAAAAAUUACUCUAUUGAGCUCUUUAGUGAUAAUGUAUUGGGCCUUGCUUUGCUUGGUUAAGUUAAUUACCAAGCAUAAUUAAGUCAUUUUUAACUUUAUUGUUUUCUUCUUUUUUUUCCUAUGUUUGUGUGUGUAUGCCAAUUGUUUUAGAGUCAGCUACUCCAAAACAUGAAAAAGUACGAGUGCCUUAAAGUGAUUUGCUGCACCUCUUAUUUCUCUAUGAUUACGUUCUUGGGUUUCUUGAAAUACAUGACAUAGUGAAAAUAGUUUUUUCAAGUCUCAUGGAUCUCAUUAAACAACAUAAACUUAUUUAGGAUUUGUGCGAAAAUUGUAUGAAGAUAGUUCUUCCUCCUAGAAUUUGAUCAACACUUGAAGGCUGCAUUUUCGUAAAUCAAGUCCUUACUUGAUUUUUCUAAAUCUAGAAUUUUAAUCUCAUGUGCUAAUUAUAUUAUAGUUUUCAAUUUCUAAAACUUAUUUACAAUCAAUUUGUUAUUAUCUACUUUUGACUCCACAAAAAAUCAAGAAAAGAAAGAGAAAAUAGAAAGAGAAAAUCCAAAAUACAAGAAGAUAUACAUGAAAAAAAAACAUAAAAGAUUACUUAAGUUGAUGGUGAAGGACCAAAUUACAUGUGGAAAAGUUGAAGGACCAAAAUAUACAAAACUACUAUAAUUAACAACUCAAUUCCAAUUGACAAAGGGCCCCAUUGGUGAAAAUAUUUCUAUUAGGGUAAAGAAAUACAAAUUUGGAUAGGUAAGGACUUAAUGAGAAUUUUGGAAGGCUUAAUUAAUUUUAUUGAGGACUUGAUUACUGGGAAAAUCAGUUUUUAGAGUCAAUUUGGGUGUUAAUUGAAAUAAAUUAAAGUCCAUAGACUUAAUUGGUUUUUUAGGAGGUUUAAUUGGAUGAAUCAAGGGCUUAAUUGUAAGAAUAUUGAAGUUUGGUAGGUAAUUAGGGACUUGAUUGAAGAAAUCUAAAACCAAGGACCAAACUGAAAAAAGGCGCAUGACUGUAGAGACUAAAUUUGACCAAAUUAGGGGCCAAAUUGAAGAAAAUUGAAAGUUUAAUGGUCAAUUAAGGGUCCGAGUGCACAAAUUAGAAACUAAGGACCAAGAUUAAAAUGGCGCUGAACUUUGAGGUUGAUGAUUGAGCUGGACAAGGGUGAAAUUACAUGAAAUUAAGAGUUUGAAGGACAAUUAUAGGUGCAAUUAAAACAAAUUUGAAGAAUAGGGACUAAAGUGAAAAUUUUCAAAUCCCAAAUAAAAAACCCUAAUUUCUAGGGUUUAACCUAGAUGAUGCGUCGUUCGACCAUUGUUUAGUUUUUUGUUGGCAAUUUUGGUUGAUCGAGUAGGCACCUUCAAACGAAUGAAUGUGGCGUUUCCAACCACUUCUAGGGUUGUAACCACCACCAUUUAAUUGAGAAACACCCCAUCUACAAAGAUCAACUACGACCAUCAAGCACUUAUAUCCCAUUUUCUUUAUCGAACUCAACAACAUCUUUUCCUAGUUAGCCAUUACUACAUUUUCAAAUUCUCGGAUAAUCGAGUUGUCGCCUUCAACAAGUGAAUAUGGGGCUACAGACAUCCAAAUUGAACAAGAAUGGACCAAAUCGAAAGGUGUGAUUCUCCUUUAUAAAGUUUAGGUGGUCUCCAAUAACAUUUACGUUGGAGUUGCUCUGGCGUGGCCUCAAAAUUGGUCAACUUAGUCAGUCUUGACUAAGAUACCUAUUUGUACAAAGUCAUUCAACUUUUUCGUGUGUUCACACUUAAAAAAUUUUAGAGGGUUCUUAUCAAGGGUCAUAAAUCUCAUCCAUAAUCAGAAGGUGAGGGAUGCAUGCCUUUGUCUCCAAGAAAAAAAAAACCUCCUAGGUAAUUUUGUUAGAAAACCAUUGUCCCAAAACCAUUGAAAGACAAAGGUUCUGAUUGUUAACAUUUGUCCAGAACUCUCUCAUUUUGAUCAAAGAACUAAGCUUUGAUCGAUCUAUAUUUGAAUCCAUUAAACACCCUAGCAAAACCCUAUAAAUACCCCCUGAAAAAUAAAAAUAAAAAGAGAGAGAGGAAAAACAUGGAAGAAACACACUAUGAAAAGAUCCUGGUGUGAAGGUUCAAGAGCCUAACAUAGAGGGUCUAACAAGCUUUAGAAAAAAUAUAGUGAAAGGGAAAGAGGUAAAUAAAAGAGAAGGAAAAUAGUUCAUAGCUAGCAAGCUUGGAUAAGGUAUAAAUAUGUAGAAAUUCAAGCGUGGAGUCCAUGUGGCCUUCCUUUUCAUGCUUUCUUAAUGUUUAAACCUCUUUUGAUGUUGUUUGAGCUUGUCUUGCAUUUUUUGGUUUGAUUUUGGUGCUGGAAUAAUUUGAUGUAUUUUCAGCAGAGUUUGUUUUAUUAGAUUUCAUUAUGAUAAUUUGUUUUAGUUUUGGUUAAUAAUUUGUUAUUGAGGUUUGCACUAAAGACAUGAUUCUUGGUUUUCACACUUGUUUGAUUAUGUGAUUUUAGCCUAAUAGCAUGAUGAUGAUGUAUUUGAGAUAUUUUGAUUGGUGUUUGAAUCUAUUUUGUAAUUAAACAAUGAGUUGUUUUUGUUUGUGGGUUAAAUAUUUUGGAAGCAUGUUGAUUAAUUUGAUGAUUUUAGUGCAAGUUCAUGGUUUAUACAAGUAUGUUUUGGCAUAUAGAUGUUAAAAAUAUCAAGUUUUGAAUCCAAAUAGCAUGAAUAUGCUUGUUGAUUAUCUUUAGUAGUUUUGAACUUUGGAACUUAAUGCAUGUUAUUGAUGACUUUAUUUUAUUUGUUAGUUCUUUGAAUUCAACAAUGCUUAAUAUUGAUAAUAUGGUUUGCAAGGACCAAAAGAAACAUGUUUUAGAAGCCUUAGAGGCUAGUUUUGGGUUUAAUAGUAGGUUGGGAACUUUUAGGUUGCUGGGUUUGGUUUUUUCAUGUUCUUGGAAAGAAAAUUGCCUUAGCACUAUGAUUUAGAUCAAUUUUGGUCCCUUUGUUUACACUAAACCAUUCAGGGGACUUAACUAGUAGAUAAUAUAGGGUUUAUUUGCAUUAAUAACAAGUGUAUGGGUUUUUAAUCCUAAGAUUUUGGUUUUUAACCGAAACCCAUUUUCACAAAAUCACGUUAAUUCUUUGAUAAUCGAAGUAAUGGAUGCUAGAUUAUGGAUCCUUGCAUGAUUUCAAAUAAAACCUUGCCCUUGAUUGCAUGAAAACUUGACUGGAUUAAGAUUUGUGUUUGUUGGUUUGUUGAUGAAUGCUCUUUGUGUUCUUCACGAUUUGAGUGUUUGAUCUAUUUUUCUGCAAAUUUUUUUUUAUGUUUUGUGUUAAUUUUCAACUUUGAUUUUGUUUCAGGUUAAACCUUUGUUUGAGUUUACUUUUCAGAUCAAACCUUGUUUUUUGGUUCAGUUCAUGGUUAAACUAGUGUCUUUGGGUCGACCCGUUUGGUUUUGUUUUAGGUCAAGUACUUAAGGCUUUGUUUGUUUGAACAACCUUUUGUGAAGGAUUUUUUUGGCCCAAGAGAAUGUUUGGCAAACACACACUUAAGUGCAUUUUGGUAAUUUCUAGGGAAAGAAAAGAUGGUUUUGCCAAACAUUGGCUUAUAGAAAUAAACUAGCUAUGUGACCCGCGCUCCACCGCGGGUUAAAUAAUCAAAAAAAUUUAAAAGAGCUCCUAAACAAAAUAAAAGAGAUGAUGUUUUAUCCAGGUUAUAAAAAGGUCCAAAGAUGUUGGGUCUUGGUGGCAGAAGGAUCCAAUUGGGUGUUGGGCCAUGGUGGAGGCAAGGCCCACAACUGUUGGGUCUUGGUGGGAGGACCCAACACGCAAUUGGGUCCUACACCGUCAAGACCCAACAUCCACAUGGGUCCUGCACCUGGCAGGACCUAGAAGGAUGUGGGUCCUGCACCCGGCAGGACCCAACAUGCAAUUGGGUCUUGCACUGUGCAGGACUCGAAGCUAAUUUCGGUCCUGCACCUUGCACGACCCAAAGUUAUUGUGGGUCCUGCGCUAUACUCAAUUGGGUUGGGUCCUGCAUCCUGUAGGACUUAAAGUGCAGGAUCCAACACCCAAUUGGUCCUGCACAUGUCAGGACCUAACACAUAAUAUAUAUAUAUAUAUAUAUAUAUAUAUAUAUAUAUAUAUAUAUAUAUAUAUAUAUAUAUAUAAUUCAAAACUACUGCAUAAAAAUCUAAAGACAAUAAAAUAUUGAUAUAACUUUGAAUCUCAUACACUAAUGUUAUAAAAUUAAAAUAUCUUGUAUUACCUAAAAUAAAAUCUCUUAUAUAAUACUAAAGAUUUAUAAAGUAUAUGAUGUAAAUAAAAAAUUUCUUGAGAUUUCUAUCAACUUUAAUAUGAAAAUAUUAGAGAAUAGAAUUAAAAAUUUUCAACUUUUUUCAAAGUAUUUUUAAAACUAUGAGUCAGGUGCCCUUGUCAACUCUUAGUUUUUUAGGUCUAGAAGGGAAUGUCAGAUCCAUGUUAAUAAUAAUAAUAAUUCAUUUAAUUAUAAUUAAAAUGAAGAAGAAGAAGAUACAAAAAGGAAAUUAAUACAGGUUUGUAAGCCAUGUAAAACACAAUUACUCAAGAUAUUUCAUGGUUUGCAUGCCUCUAGUUUGCGUGCGUGGUUAGGUUUCCCAUCUAUUUUAUGAAUUCACGCAAACCUAUUAUGAUAAUAUUUACAUACCAAGCACUAGAAACUAUAGAAGAAAAAAGAAAAUCUGACAAUAAGAAAAAUAUAUUGGUCUCAUAAUAUCUAUUUAGCCUUACACUUCUGGAAAAAGAUUAAUUUUCCAUCAGCACCAUGGACAUCUGGAAAUUUUUAUUUUUUGAUUUACUUUAAAUUAGUAUUUUUUUGACAUUUUUGUAUUAUUUUUAAAAGAUUGUUUCCAAAAUAUAUAUUUAGAUUGUGUCUUGAAAAUUUUUAAUUUUUUUCUUGACUUUAAAUUUUGAAGACACAAUCUCAACAUAAUUUUUUAAAAGAAAAUAUUUAAAAAAUAAUAGAAAAACAAAGAAAAAAGUAAUUUAAAGUAAAGGAAAAAAAUAAAAAUAUUUCAAGACACAAUUUCAAUAUUUUUUUUCAAACAUAGUAUUUAAAAAACAAUAGCAAAAUAUAAAAAAAAUCAAUUUGAAUUAAAGGAAAAAAUUAAAAAUUUUCAAAUUUCUUGGCUCUUGCUUCACAGUCAGACACAAUCUCAAAAAAAUAAUUUAAAAUCUUUAUUUAAAAAAUAAUAGAAAAACAUAGAAAAAAAAAUUUAAGUAAAGAAAAAAAUUAAAAAUUUUCAAGACACAAUCUCAAUGUAUAUUUUGAAAAAAAAUAUUUUCAAAAUAAUACAAAAAUAUAUAUAAAAAAUUAAUUUAAAGUAAAUUAAAAAUUUUCAAAUUUCUUGGGUCUGGCUUGUCAAAAGUUAUUUCAAAAAUUACAAAUUCAAAAAAUUAAUGUUGUUGGGUCUUUUGGUAGAGAAGGCAACGCCCCCAGCUCUUGGAUCCUAACUCUAAAGGGUUGAGGAGAACCCAAUGUCAUUGGGUCCUGGUGUUAGCAAUACCCAAUAACCCACAGUCAACCACUAUGUUGGGUCUCCCAGUAGCUCUGGGAAGACAAGGCAAAGCCUCCAUCCGUAAAUUUUGACCAAAACCAUAGCAGGGUAUGACCCCCAAGGUGUAUGGCUGCUAGGUCUGGCUGUGUAACCACACCCAAUAUCCUUAGGUAUGGUUGUGCAGCUAAACCCAACACCUUUGGAGGGUGUUAGGUCCUGCACCGUGCAUGACCAAAAUAGCUAUGAUAUAAGUAAUCCAUCCUAGGGACAUCGGCAUAGGAAGAUUGAAAAAAAAACAAAACAAAACAAUUGAUUUCCUUUGGUAAAUGGAUUGGAAAUCCAUGUUAUCACGAAUGUGAGAAUUCAAUCACCCAUACCUCUCUAUAUCUCUACACAUCGUAAAUAUAUAUAUCUUUUUCACUACAAUAUAACACCACCAUUGAAUAUUAAUGCAAGACCAUUGAUCAAUAAGGAUGACUGGCUUCCAGACCCAAUAACCAUACCCAAUUAAAUUUCUUUGUCGUUGUCUUCUCUGAUUUAAAUUUAUUUUUCAAAAUAAAUUGAUGAGAUUUUUUUUAUAUUGUAUAAAAGUUGAGUGAUAAUAUUUUUUUCCCAUUUCAGGUUGGGUUAAAUUUCCUAAUUAAAUCAUGUUUGAUUUUGCGUUUUGAAAAUUCCUUGAAAUUUUUUUGAUAAUUUUUAAGUUUUUUUUCUUUGCUUGAAAUUAAUAUUUUUGUUAUGUUUUUGUAUUAUUUUUUAAAAAAAUAUGUUGAGAUUAUGUCUGGCUGCGACGCUAGACAAAAGAAAUUUUAAAAUUUUUAAUUUUUUUCUUUACUUCAAAAUAUUACUUUCACCAUGUUUUUGUAUAUUUUUUAAAUAUUUUUUUUUUAAAAAAAACAUAUAUUGAGAUUGUGUCUAGUUGAGAGGCAAGACUCAAGAAAUUAAAAACAUUUUCAUUUUUUUAUUUACUUCAAAUUAAUUUUUGUUUAAUAUUUUUUUCUUCAUUUCAAAUUAUUUAGAUAGUGUUUGAUUUUGCAUUUCAAAAAUUGUUUGAAUUUUUUUUGACAAUUUUAAAGCUUUUUUCUUUACUUCAAAUUAAUUUUUUUUUAUGUUUUUGUAUUUUUUUUUUAAAUGUUGGCAUUGUGUUUGUCUGCGAUGCUAGACCCAAUAAAUUUUUAAAUUUUAAUUUUUUUCUUUCCUUCAAAAUAAUAUUUUUUUUUCAUGUUUUUAUAUAUUUUUUAAAAAUAUUGAGAUUUUCUCUGGCUCGUUUUGUGGGGCCUCUAAACCCAAGGAGGGUUAGAACAGACCUCGACGGCUGGGUCUGCACCCAGCGCGUGUGUAAUAGUCCGAACUGUACGACUCGAUCAAUGUUAAAAGAUUCCAACAUAUACUCUUUAUUUGAGGGUAAUGUUUUUUUUUUAUUUCCAAAAAUUCGACAGAGUUUUGUUUGCAUUUAGAACAUCCCAAGUUAUCGACUACUAUCAAUUUACUCAAUCAACCCAUUAUCACAAGGUCCCUUAAUUCCGGACCUUAUAUCAAACCUCAUAAUUCCACACCUCAUACAAUCCACACAAUAUAUAUAUAUAUCCUACGAGUAAGUUCAAUAUGAACAUAGUCCAACACAUCGUAUCAUAAAAUUUAAAGGAAAAGCAAUACUAUCAUGCAAAGAAAGUAUUUACAGUUAAUUACAAGAUAACUAAAAUACUACAUGCUAAGCUAAACCUUUAUAAAUACAUCAAGGUUUGCACAAAAGUAUACUACAUAAACACGUUAAUUCCCUUUUGUUUUAAGUUAAAUAUUUACAUAAGCUUCACAAGGUAGAGUCCUAAACUAAUGAUCUUCCUGGAUGUUUGAUGGACCUGUUACAUAAAUAAACAUACCAUUAUGUUGAUAAAGAAUAUAUGUAUGCUCAUGCAAUGAAUACGAAUGAAGUAUUAACUUUCUAUCGAAUCCAUGAGAAUUCUAACAAAUAACUUAUAUUUUGCUUGUAAAUCUUUUAAACCCAAUUAACACUCAUUUGUAUAUUCUUAAUUGAAUAAUCUUAUUUACUUGCAUAAACUGGGUGACCUUGCAAGGUUUAAUCUUGUAAUUCAUUUCCCGGCAAUCCUAUCAUGGAUGCCAUUAGCCGAAGCUAAUUAUGUAAAUCAUUUCCCGGCAAUCCUAUAACGGAUGCCAUUAGCCGAAGCUAAUCUUGUAAAUACACUAGGCUUUAUUUACAUUGAACACGAUAUUUAUUAUAAUUGCAUUCACCAGAAGGAUUCUAAAUUGUAUAAGUGCAAAUAGGAGGGAAAAUCAUGCACCUGCUUCGUCUGUCUCGCGACCUCCCCUAACAAAAGAUCCAAUCCUAGUUGCUCCUCCUGAAUCACAAGGAAGUUUUUUUUUUUUGGUUAUGAUUCCUUCAAGCCGAUAUUAUAGAGAAUUCAUAUUCAUCCAUUACUCAUAUGUUACUUUCUAUGCAUGUUCAUUUCCUCAUAAUAACAUACAUACAUAUAUCAUGUAUAUUUUCAGAGUUAGUAUCUCAAUAUACAAGUGUUCGUAUGACUCAAUUCUUUUAUAUUCUUAUUUAUAGUAUUCACGUCAAAGUCGUCUGACUUUGAACUGUUACUGUUUGACUUUGAACUGUUACUGUCCAAUUUCCAACUGUUACUGUUUGACUUGGAACUGUUACUGUCUAAACACUCAUCAGAUUUUUAACUAUAUCUAAAGUUCUAAAACUCCAUUUUAAGUGAGAUUGAUCUCGCUAGAAAGCUAAGACACGAGGCUACUAGUUCUCUGAGGAAGGAGAACCUAGUUUUGCCUCCAAGAUAGUCAAAAUUGUUCAUUUACUAAUUAGUCCUACUACCCUACAUAAUUAGUUACGACUCAAUCUCAGUUGGUAACCCAUAACUGGAGUUCUACAUCUCCAAAUUGAGCAAGACCAGUUUCUUUGGUUAGCUAACAUUCAAAUCUACAAUUUCUAUGAGGAACCCGAUCCUAAUCCCCUCAUCCUCCUACCCGAAAUCUCAUCAAAAGUUAGGAGACAAGUCUGUCUAGAUUCGUCUCCCCCUCCCCUUCACACAAUACUUUCAUAAACUACAUACCACACACAUGAAUUAACUUAAUCUCAACAAUAAGUACUUUUUCCCCAAUUUAUGUCUAAGAACCCUAACCUAUGAUUCAAUAUCAAGGCAUCAAUUCUUUAUCGAAUUUAAAAAUGAAUUUUUUUAAGAUCAUGUUUAGAAUACCUUACCCGGUACAAAUUAAGAUUUUGAUCUUCAACCAGUUGAAGAUUUUCAACUCCCUCCUUUCUUUUCUUCUUGUUCAAUUUCUUGGUAAUUUUUUGCUCUCAAGUGUUUAUCCCAUCUAUAAGCUCUUAAUCUUGGAUGGGUUCUUGAAAUUUUAGUGUUUCUCUCUUGAUUUCUCAAGAAUGGGUAUAAACUCCCUAUCUUCUCUUCUUAUGGUUCCUACAGAUUUUUUUGGUGAGGAGAGAGUAUUUAUACUCUAUAUUUUCCCUUAUUUGCAUUUAGGCCCUCCUUUUCCUUUAAGUGUAUUAUUCUCUUCAAUUAAAUCCAACCCUCAACAGUACCGGGUUUAUUAUAAUAUCGCGAAUUAUUUCGCUCGGAAAUUUAUAUUCAAAAAUUUCAGAAUUUCUGUUUUUAUUUAACCAUAUGCAUGAAUUUCAUCACUUUUAUUUAUUUAUUAUUUUUCCCGGGGUUUACAGCGCGGGUCCAGAGGCCAGGAGCGCGGGGUUGCAGACCCUGCCUCGCGGGUAUGCAGACCCCAGGGUCACAAGGCUGCACACUCGCUUGCACUGGGGAUGCAGCCAGGCGCGCGGGUCUGCCUUACCACCUAAGGCAUGGCAGGCCCCGUGCUAGGUGUCUGCAUGCUAGGGCCUUGGCCAGCCCUAGUGCUAGGUGGCAGCAACCUAGAGCGCGAGCAGGCGCACGUGGCCUACCCCACUCCCAAGCCUGACAGCCUAAGCGCCAAGUGUCCCCAGCCUUAGGGGUUGUGCGUCCAGCCAGACACUUGGGGCCCACACUAAUAUUUUUUUCAAAAAAUAUUUUUUAACAAUAAUAGUAAUAAUGAUAAUGAUAUUUGUUAUUAUAUUUUUUUUUUUGCAAUUUCCUUCCAUUUUUAAUAUUAAUACAAGUAAUAAUAUUUAGUAAUAAUAUUUUUUUUAACAUUCAAUGAAAUUAAAAAUAUAAAUAUUUAGAAUAAAAAUAAAAAUAUUUAGACUACAAAUAAAAAUAUUUAUCACAUUAAUAAUAAUAUGAAACUUGUUUGACCAAAGUUGAUAAAAUAAUAUUUUUUUUAAAAAAAAUUAUUAACAAUAAUAAUAACGAUAAUUGUUGUUAUAUUAUUUUUUUCAAUUUUCUUCUAUCCUUAACAUUAAUACUUUUAAUUACAAUAAAGAUAAUAAUAUUUAGAAUACAAAUAAUAAUAUUUAUCAUAUUAAUAAAAAUAUCUACAGUAAUAAAUUUUUUUAUGAUAAUUAACCAUGAGACAAUAAUAAUAAUGAUAAUUGCUAUUGUAUUUUUUCCCCUGCAGGGUCUGUCGAUCCAGCCGUGCGAGCCUCUAAACCCAAGGGCGGUUAGAACAGACAUCGGCGGUCGGGUCUGCACCCAGUGUGCGGGUCAGGAGGCUAGGAGCGCGGGGUGCAAACUCUACCUCGCUUGUCUGCAGACCCCAGGGUUGCGGGGCUGCAGCAAACCCCGCGCCAGGUGUCUGCAUGCUAGGGCCUCGGCCAGCCCUAGCACCAGGUGGCAGCAGCCUAGGGCGCGCGCAAGAGCGCGUGGCCAACCCAACGCCCAUGCCUGUCAACCCAAGCGCUAGGUAUUCGUAGCCUCAGGGGGUGUGCGUCCACCCAGGCACUUGAGGCGUGCAAUAAGAUUUUUUGAAAAAAAAGUUUUUUAAAGAAUAAUAAUAAUGAUAAUUGUUAUAAUAUUUUUUUUUCCAAUUUUCGUCUAUUCAUAAUAUUAAUACAUUUAAUUAAAAUAAUAAUAAUAAUAAUAAUAGUUAGAAAAAUAAUAAUAUUUAUCACAUUAAUAAUAAUAUGAAACUUGCUUGACCAAAGUUGAUACAAUAUUAAUAAUAAUAUGAAACUUGCUUGACCAAAGUUGAUACAUUAUUAAUAAUAAUAUUUAUCACAUAUUUUAUCAAAUUAUUUACAAAUAAUAAUAUAUUUUUAUGUUUGAAAAUCCAUUUUUUAUAUACUCACAUCAAAAUAUUCAUUCGUGUAAAAAGGAAAUAAUAAUAUUAAUUUUUCUUUUCUUUUCUCUUAUUUUCGAUAUGAAUACUUUUUUAUAUAUAUUUUUGAUAUUUCUCUUCUUGAAUUUGCUUAUUAAAGCAUGUUUGUUUUUGCGUUUAAAAAAUGCUUUGAAAACAUUUUUAAAAUUUUUAAUUGUUUUGUUUACUUCAAAUUAAUAUUUUUGAUGUUGUAUUUUUUUUUGGUCUAGGUCCAUGACUGCGUUUUUAUUAUAAUUCUAAUUAUAAAAUAAUAAUAUUUAUAAUAAAAAUAAUUAUAUUUAGAAAGCUAAGACCCAAUUCUCUUGGGUCGUGACGCAGGACCCAUUACCCUUGGAUCCUGCCGUGGGACCUAAAGGAAUUGGGUCCUGACGCAUGACCCAAUCCUCUUAGGUCCUUGGGUCCGGCGGCAGGACCCAAGAGAAUUAUAAUAAAAAUAAUAAUAUUUAUAAUACAAAUAAUAAUAUGUUUAAUGUCAAUAACAUUAAUUAUAAUAAACAUAACAAUAUUUAUAAUACAAAUAAGAAUAUCUUGAAUUUCAAUAACAUUAAUUAUAAUACAAAUAAUAAUAUUUUUCAUUUAUUAAUUAUUAUAUGAAUAAUAUUAAUUAUAAUAAAAUACAAAUAUUUAUAAUACAAAUAAUUUUAAUUUUAACGUUAUUAUUAUUAUUAUUAUUAUUUAUAAUACAACUAAGAAUAUUUUUUAAUAACAUUAAUUAUAAUACAAAAGUAUUAAUAUUAAAAAUAUUAUUAUUUGUAUUAUACAUAUUAUUAUUUUUAUUAUAAUUAAUAUUAUUCAUAUAAUAAUUAAUAAAUUUUGGAAAUUUAUUAUUAUUAUUAUUAUGAUUAAUAAAUUUUAAAAAUACUAUUAUUACUAUUGAAGAAAAACCAUUAUUUUUUUAAAGAUUUAAAAAUAUAAUUCAAAGUAUUCAUAUAAAAAAUAUAAUUAUUUGUAUUAUAAAUAUAAUUAUUUUUCUUAUAAUUCAAAGUAUUCAUAUCAAAAAAAUUAUUAUUUGUGUUAUAAAUAUAUUAUUUUAAUUAUAAUUCUAAGUAUUAAUAUAAAAAUAUUAUAAUUUGUGUUAUAAAUAUUCUUGAGUUUGUUAAUAUAAUUAUUUGUGUUAUAAAUAUUAUUAUAACAAAUAAUCAAAUGCCAAGCGCCCUAGGGCUGCAUCCAAGCAUGCGUGUCCGGUCAUAGCGCUCAAGGCUCGUCACACCCUUCGCCAGGUGUGUGCAUGCUGAGGCCUCGGCCAGCUAUAGCGCCAAGUGUUUGCUGCCUAGGGCCGCGACUAGGGGCGCGUGGCUGGCCCCAAAGCCCUGGCUUGGCUACCCAAGCACAAGGUGUCGACAGUCUAAUCUAAUUAAAUGUCGCCUCUGCCGCUGCAUCACUCCCAUCUUAAUGACAAAAGUCAAAUGAGCCACCCCAGUCGCAAUUCUUGACUAAAAACACAGGUAAGGAACGCCCCCCAAGGUGCUAUAGUGUCAUCCACAGUUCAUUGUAUCUUGGGCCACAGUGCAUGUACAGUAGAAAAUCCUAAUACGUGUUAAGACAUAGCAAAGCAACUAUGUAAGUUUUAAUACAUAGCAAAACAACUGUGCAAAUCCACAAUUAAUUGUCUCUUGGUCCACAGUGCAUGCAUGUACAGUAAGUCCACAAUGAAUUAUCUCUCAGUCCACAAUGUAUUCAUGUAUAGUAGAAAACCACGUGUUUUAGAGUUUUGUUAAUAAUAAAAAAAAACAAAAAUAAUUUUGGUUUGUUGUAUACGUCUCAAUCUUUACAUAACAUUGCAAUUUAUUAAUAAAAAGGAGGGGAAAAUGUUUUUAGCAUUGUUUUUUUUUUUCAUUUUGUAAUUUACAAUAAGUUGGCCAAUAUUUGGCCAAUAUUUCAAUAACUCUAAAAAUUUUAAUUCCUAAAAAUUAAAGGUCAACAUUAUGGUAUAAAUGUUAGACCUACCAGUAGGCUAGUAUUUAAGUACCAGAAGUUAACUAGAAAAUUUUCAGAAUUAUUUUGGAUAUUCAUCAUUUUUAAUUGUGAGUAUUUUUUCAUCACAAUAUAUGAGUUGUGGAAAACAUUUUCACCUUUCAGGAUAGGUGACUCCUGUCAAAGCACCUACAUGAAUUUUUUUUAUAAGAAUUUACCUAAACAUACGAGUCCAUAAUAAAUUUGAAAUGUCAUAUUUAUUUAUGGGCGUAAUUCCUUUUUCUGAGCCAUAAAUGGGCUACCGGUUAGGAACCCAUCAACACGUUUAAACCACAUCAUGACAACACAAUACAACUUUACUCAAGUAAGGAUGUUAAUGCCUUUUUCUAGCCAAUACUGGUCCCUUACCCUGAAAUUUCAGAUAAGAUCAGUUACUUGGGUCUUCUAAUGACUUUGAAAUCACAAAACUAGGUGCGGACUCCUUAAUCCCGAUGCUGCAACACCGCGCGCACAUAGGCGACACAAUUCAUGCUUGAUUAAUCAUCCAUGUGAAUUAUUAGGUUUCGAAUAUGUUGGCACAAAUAUAAAUCAUAAUCUUAUUCAAAACAAGAUUAAAUAAAUUAAGCAAUUUAAGUUACUAUCAAUCCAACAAAUUGAUAGAUUUAUAUUUAAAUAUCAAAUGCAAGAUACCAUGAUCUCUUAAAUCUUGUCCCAGUAUAAAAAAAAUGUGAGUAUAUGAACCCAUGAAGUGGUAUCAGAAUCUAUUUUCCUAUUAUUAUUAACUAAACGGAAAGCCAUAUCUUACUGCUUAUACUAUAAUAUUGGGAUUGAGUGGUACAAUGUCCAGAAUGCUUCUAAGGAUAACCAUAUGUCCAUAUCCAUAAGAUCUCAAUGGAUUGACCCUUACUACAGAAUCUAGCACAUCCUUAAGCUAGAAUAAAGUGCCUUCACUGAUUAAUCUAGCAUAUAUAUCUAAUUAUUUGAAAAUCUUUUCAAAUUUCAUUCCACCUUAUAUAAAGAUUUAAUACUUAAUAUUAUUUGAGAAUACAUAUAGAUUGCAAGCAUCGGCUUUUAGUGUACUUUUGAUGACAUGAAACUACCACAAAAUGGGUCCUAUCCGAGAGAGUGUUCUCUUUCUGUUCUGUUAUCACAUAGAACUGAAAUCUGUUCAGAGUACCCCUCCAAGAAAAUUGAUGCGGGCAGAAAGACAAUAAUAAAUACAGAAAAAACACAAGAAUUUUAAUGAGCGAAAUGGGCUGUUGAUGUGAACAUUAAGUUCACAGGUUUUAUUUUCUCUUAAAUAACAAUCAUCACUACAAGAUUUCACAGUUUUACUGACGGACCAAUUCCGUCGAUGUGUGAUUAGAAGUUCGUCGGUGAUUUUUUUACCGACGUCAUCACCGACGGAUUACGUCCGUCCGUCGGCAUUCCCUUCGUCGGUGAUUCCCCCUUCCAUCGCUAUAUCGAUUGGAAAAACAAAAAAAUCAUUUGCCGAUGGUUUUACAGAUGGAAUUUGCGCGCCAAAAAAAAAGAUUCCCGCUUGAAAUAUACCGACGGAUUUUUAUUCUGUCGGUGAUAUUGUAAUUGACCGACGGAAACUAUCCGUCGGUAAAUACGUCGGUGAGUGUAUGAAAUACCGAACGAAUAUAUUUGUCUGUAAAUUCGUCGGUACUGGUGGCAGUUACUGUUAAAUGCCGACGGAUUAAUUCCAUCGGUAAUUCUGUCAGUGAGUGUUUAAAAUACCGACCGAAUUAAUCCGUCGGUAAAAUCCUUGGUAAUAGUUUUUUUCUUAAUUUUUUUUAAAAAAACUAUUUAGGAUAUAUAAUAUAAAACUAUUUAAAUUAAUUGUAAUACAAACCAAUUAUGCAAAAAAAAAUUAUAUUAAACAUAAAAAAAACAAAGUUAAAUAAUAUUCAUUACAAACUGAAUAUGUUUCAAGAAAAAUAUUAAAUGAAGUUUUAAAGGUAAAUAAUGUUGAUUACAAAUUAAUAUAAAGGUGGAGCUGGAGGAGGAGGAGGAGGAGAUCCUGGAGGAGGCUGGUGAUUAUACGGCCAAAAAAGAUUAGGCGCACAUGUUCCACUAUUUGUCAUGUUCAUUAGCAUUUCGCGAAGUUGUUCAUAAGCCGCUUUUUGUUGUUCAUGAGCCGCUUCAUACUCCGUUUUUUGUUGUGCUUGAGACGCUUUGAGUUGCUCAGACUACGCUCUUUGUUCCGCUCUUUGUUGUGCAUGAGACGCUUUGAGUUGUGCGUACUCCGCUUUUAGGUGAUCGUAUUUCUCGGUGAGCUGAGCUGUGUGUUGCUGCAAGGCCACGAACUCCUUAGAUUGGGAGCUCGAUAUUGAUUGGGAGCUCCCAACGGUUGAAACACUACGGGUCGACCGCAAGUUGUCGGCCGUAGUGUUGGAGAGCCCGUAAACCCGAUUUUUAUCGGGUCCACUUGACAAGCCAACCUCCAUCCACAAAUCCGGAUCGAAUUUCGAAUGGGUCAAAAUAUUGUCCCCGUAUCUCUCCCUCAACCGAUUAUUAUAGGUCUCCUGAAAAUAAAAAUAAAAAAGUAAUCAUCAUAUUCAAUACAAUAAACAUAAUAACUUACAUAAUAACUUACAAAAUAAAAUGGUUGAACAAACAUACCACGAAAUGCUGAGCACGGUUAUCAACGAACUGUUGCGCCCCCUUCUGGCAGUCUUGACUCUGCACGUGCGUCUCCACAAACAGCUCCAUCGGGCUCAGCUUACGUCCAAGAGACGCAGCCUAUAAUGAAAAAAGAUAUAUUAACAACAACUGAAUUUAACGAUAUAUUUCAUUUAAAUUAAUCUUACCAUCCGUUUCGCAUGUGCAGCAAACGGAACGGAGCCGUCAGUGUGCGUUGUCACCCCGCCAUGAAUUGGCCGAUUCCGGUUGCCAGCACCGGACUGUGAGUGUCGUGUGAACCGUUCAGACGUCACGUGCUCAAGAUAGUGCGGCCAUAUAUCUUCCGGGAUGUAUAUCGGUUUGAAAUCCCUCCAAACCGCAACAUCGUUCCAGCCUUGGAAACCCCUAUCCCUCGCGGUUUUUUUUGCCUUUUUUUGUGCUUCAUACCAAAAAUCACGCAACCUACUUCACGCAACCAAAAAUUACAUUUCGAAACAUAAAUUUUUGGCUAAAAAAAAUCCUGUAUUGUUUUCGAUCUUACCUAGUUGCCGCGUGAUUUUCCCACACCCUCCUCACAACAGUGUUAUGCUCACUGUCCCAGCAGAAUUUGUGCUGUGUAUAAAUAAACAAGCUUAAAUAAAAAUAAUAAUUUAUUUACAAUUAUAUUAAUAAGCUGAAAAUUAUAAAUUAAUACCAACCUCAAACCUGUUAAACCAUGCAUUGAUUUGAGGCAUCCAUUCAGGAUGCUUGGAUAUCUGACUCCAUUGAAACAAUGGAAUCUCCAUCGACGAUUUAAACGCCGAUGAUAUUACUCGGGCGGCUUCAAUGUUUGUGAACCUGAAAAUAAAUGAAAUAAAUUCAAUAGUGAUUACUUCAUAAAUUAUGUUGUAAUUUUUUUAAAAAAAAACUAAAACCUUAACAAACUUACAUUGAAAGGUCGUCCUUCCAUUGUGCCUCGUACUUGCGGGUAAAUUGAUUCCGCUGCGAAGGCACGCCGUCUCUGCGCUAUGAAGUACCGCUAGAAGAGGCAGCAUCGGUUGACGGCGCAGGUGGUGUAGGUGCCUCUUCUUGAGAGGCACCUAAGGAAAUAUCAUCAUCGCUGCUAGACGAACUAGCUGUGACCGUACUUGAGCGACCAGCUCUGGUUUUCGUUCUACGCAUCUACACAAUUUGAUACAAAUAAUUAUAUAAUUAAAUUCAAAUGUAAAAAAAAAAUUUGACAGCACCUCCCCUAUACCGGAUACUACCCAAAUCCACAAACAUGCACAUAUUAACAAUAGCCACAACCAAUUUACCCAAUCUAUACUAAUUAUUCCAACAUAUUCAAUUACUAAUCCUAAGGUAAAUUCAACAUUAAGAAUUACAAUUCAAGUAAUUAUUCAAUAAUUAUACCAAUAUAACAAAACAAUAAAUUAAAAAAAAAACUCUAGAAUAACAAUCAAAAUAAAUGGAAAAAAUUAAACACAAAGCAUGCAAUAAUAGAGUAAAACUAAUAAUUAUUCCAACAUAUUCAAUUACUAAUUCUAAAAUAAAUUCAACAUUAAGAAUUACAAUUCAACAAAUUAUUCAAUAAUUAUGCCAAUACAACAAAACAAUAAAUUAAAAAAAAACUCUAGAAUAACAAUCAAAAUAAAUGGAAAAAAUUAAACACAAAUCAUGCAAUAAUAAAGUAAAAUUAAUAAUUAUUCCAACAUAUUCAAUUACUAAUUCUAUGGUAAAUUCAACAUUAACAAUAAAUAUUCAACAAAUUAACUAAUAAUAAUUAUGCCAAUACAACAAUAAAAAAUAUUCAGUAAAUUUAAAAAAAAAACUAUAGACUUUAGCAAUGAAUUAUGCAAAAAAAACUAUAGACUUUAUCUACAUUACAAAAAAUACACCAAAAAAAAAAACUAACCAAAAAAAUAGCAAAAAAAAACCAUUAGAAGAAACACUAACCUUUUAAACUGAUGGAGAUUCACGAUAAAAAAAGCUUGAGAUCGCCUGAAGAACGGAGAGAAGAACGGAGAGGAAAAGAAUGGUGAAAAACUGAGGAGAAGAGAAAAUGAACUGAAGAGGCGGUCGGGGGAGUUUAAAUGCCAAUUUUACCGACGGAUUCACCGACGUCUAUAAAAUUAAUUAUUAUUUUAAUUUAUUCCGUCGGUGAGGUGUUAAAAAUCCGUCGGUAAAUUUUGAAUUUCGCACCAAAUUUUUUAAUGGCCCUCUAUAUUUUUCGCAGUCCGUGGCAAAUCCGUCGGCAAUCUGACGCGGUCAGAGAUGCAUUUAAUGCACAACCCUUUGAUAUUCGCGCAGUCCGUCGGGAAUUGUGUCGGUAAAAUUGACAACGUACCGACGACUAUAUAUUCGUCGGUGUGGUCGUCGAUGAUAUGGUGGCAUUACCAGUAAUUAUUUUCGAACUCUCUGUGAAAUGCCGACGGAAUUAAGUCCGUCGGUGUGGUCGUCGGUGAUGUGGUGGCAUUUCAAGUAAUUAUUUCCUGUCACAAAAUAUAUCAUCCAUGAUCAAUAAUUAUUUCAAGUAAUUAUUUCGUAAUUGUGGCAUUUCAACUAAUUAUUUCAAGUAAUAAAUAUUUUGUGUUUCAAAAUAUAUCAUCCAUAAUCUAAAUUACAUGAAAAAAAGGGUUUUACAUAGGGCUUCAUUUUGGUAGUUAGUCAGAAUUUUCUUCUUCUUCGUCAUCAAUUGAAUUGUCAUCACCUUCAUCGCAAUCUUCAACAUGAAUAUCAUCUUCUUCAUCGACAUUUGCUUGUCCGCUAGAGCUCAAAACAAAAUUCAACUCCUCUGCAUCAACAUCAACAUGACUAUCAUCGAAAACACGAAAAUUUGAAUUUUCUUCCAAUUCAAUCGAAGGAGUAACUCGAUAUGGUUCAACCACCUCACUAACUUGAAAGACUUCAUCUCGCACACUUGUGUCUUCAUUCUCAUCCUGAACAACCUCGACACGACCCCGGGGUUUUGUUUUUAAAACGGACAACCAAUCCACUCUUGAUCGAUCCUUUCUAAAUGAAGGGGUGUAUGUGUAAUAAACUUGUUGACAUUGCUUUGCGAAAACAAAGACAUCGUUUAUGUUGCGGAGUCUAGCUUUUGAGUUGAUUUCGACCAGACCAUAGUGCGGAUCAACUCUGAUUCCUCUGUCAGUCGUGUCAUACCAAUAGCAUUUGAAUAAAAACACUAUAUUCUGCUCGUCAUGAUAUUGUAGUUCGACGACCUCUUCUAAUCUACCAUAGUAGUCAACUUCUAACUCACUACUAGUGGAUCCCUUAACACAAACACCGCUGUUGUAUGUCUUUCUUCCUUGCCCGUAUUCUUCAGUAUGGAAAACAUAUCCAUUGACAAAAUACCCGUUGUAGCACUUACAUUUUCUUUCAAGCCCCAGGCUUAGUGAAGACAAUGACUUAGGUGCACUCCUUCCCAUUUGAUAAACCUUGUAUGUAAUGUACAUCAAUAAAUAGUAAAUGAACGAGAAUCUCGUAAUGACAUGCAUACGUACAGUAAUUUUGCAAGUUAGAAUGAGUUUGUGAUAGUGCUUACAUGUGUUCUGAACCACGUGGCAAACUGCUCAUCUUGUAAUUGAAAGAUCUGGGAUUCGGUCAGCUGUGAGUUAUUGGAGAGCAAAUAUUGACGAUGUUGCCUGCAAGUGAUAAUGAGUGUAUGAUAUUACAAUAUAUAAUUAACAGUAUAUUACUAACAAAGUUUAAUUAGUAUAAACUUACUGAAUAAAAGGUCUCAGCUCAUCACACUUAAAUAGAACAUAGUUGUGUGCUUGUUUGAACUCUAUUUCCGACAAAUAUCUUCCUCUUACGGCAUUUUUAUGUGUGGGUCAUCCAGUAUUGGAGAAUAUUGACAAGUUCCCACUGGAUGGCACUUCACCGCCAUCAUCAUGCCGUGGACCGCGAUUGAUUCUCGUUCUCAGAUGAGGUUCGAAAUAGUACGAGAUAAAUGUUGAGAUCUCCUCAACAAUAUAGGCCUCACAUAUCGAAGCCUCAACAUGCGCCUUGUUCUUAACCUUUUUCUUGAGAUUAAACAAGUACCUGCAUUGAAAUAUUAAUCAAGUAUUUUCAAUUAAGAAAAACAUAUAAAAUACUUUUAUAUAUGAAUUACAUUGCAACUGUAAUAUCUAACCGUUCGAAUGGGUACAUCCAUCUAUAUUGGAUCGGACCUCCAGCUUUUGCCUCGAACGGUAGAUGUAUAGGGAGAUGCUCCAUUGAGUCAAAAAAUGAUGGAGGGAAUAUCAUCUCAAGUUUGCAUAGUGUCUCGACGAUAUUCGUUUGAAGCCUCUCAAUGUGAUCAACAUUCAACUUGCUGGAGCAUAUAUCUCUGAAGAAAUGACUAAUCUCCGUGAGUGCAUCCCAUAUUCCCUUUGGCAACAAAUCACGAAAAGCUAAUGGGAUGAGUGUUUGCAUAAACACGUGGCAGUCAUGACUCUUCAUUCCAUACAAUCUGCAGUCCUCUAUAUUAACCAGCCUUGAUAUGUUCGAUGCAUGUCCAUCCGGAAAACGCAGACUCUUAAGUCAUUUGUAGACUAGCAGUUGUGCGUUUUUCUCUAACACGAAGCUUGCUCUUGGUUUUGCAACCCGUGACUCAUCAUAAACCAACUCCAUAUUUUUACGGUUACAGUAUAAAGCUAUAUUCAAUCUAGCCUUGAUGUUGUCCUUUGUCUUCCCCUUCACAUCCAUGACGGUGUUGAAAAUGUUCUCAAACAUGUUCUUUUCGAUGUGCAUGACGUCAAGGUUAUGGCGGAGCAGAUUGGUCUUCCAAUAAGGAAGCUCCAAAAAGAUACUUCGCUUUACCCAAUUAUGGGUCAAACCAAAACCAGGAAACUUUUGCUUACCUGAUUGAAGGCCAAACACAAUGUCACCGUACUCUGAGACAACAUCAUGCAAUUCUUCACUAGAAAGACGCAGGGAUGCAACAUCUUUUUCAACUCUGCCAACAAAGAAAUCUUUUUUGUUCUUUCUGUACCUGUGAUGAAGUGGCAAGAAGCGACGGUGACAGUAAAAAAAAGAAGCUUUACCUCCAUUUGCUAGCGUGAAUGCCUUGUUGUUUUCCAUGCAGUAUGGACAUGCGAGUUUCCCAUGCGUGCUCCAACCAGAAAGCAUUCCAUAAGCUGGAAAAUCAUUGAUAGUCCACAUCAAUGCCGCCCUCAUAAGGAAAUUUUGUUUCCUCGAUAUAUCAUAAGUCAGAGCUCCGGAGGACCACAACUGCGCCAACUCAUCAAUCAACGGUCGAAGACAAACAUCUAUAUUCCGCCCCGGGCUUCUUGGACCGGGUAUGACAGUAGAUAAAAACAUGAACUCCGGCCUCAUACACAUUCCCGGUGGCAAGUUAUAAACUGUGAGUAUGACCGGCCAACAAGAAUAAGGAGCAGCAAAUGACCCAAAUGGGUUGAAUCCGUCUGUACACAACCCAAGACGCACAUUCCUUGAUUCAGCUGAAAAGUGAGGAUGAACACUGUUAAAGCGUUUCCACGCUUCGCCGUCAAAAGGAUGAACCAUCACUCCAUCAACCGCAUGGUGUGCUUGGUGUCAUGUCAUGUGCUCAGUAGUCCUUGGUGACAUGAAUAACCUCUGCAGUCUAGGUGUGAUCGGGAAGUAUCUAAGUUUUUUAUAUGCCACUAGAGUCUUUUCCCUGCUAGUUCUAGGUUUGUAACGGGAAUGCCCGCAUGUCAUGCACUUGGUCAUCUCAGCAUUUUCAAGGUAGUAUAACAUGCAGAAGUUAGGGCACAUGUCAAUUUUUUGGUAUCCUAAACCGAGGGGUUUCAUCAUGGACUUCGCAGCAUAGAAGUUCUCUUUCAGCCUGUUCCCUUCAGGUAAAAUGCUUCUCGCCCAUUCAAUAAUCUUGUCAUACUCGGCCUCACUCAACCCGUGAUCUGACUUGAUGGUGAACAUUUGUGCUACGACCGAUAAUUUACUGUGGUUCGUGCAGCCAUCCCAUAAUGGUUCGUUAGAAUCUUUCAACAAAUCAAAAAACCUAGCUGCAUCUGCAUUAGGUUCUUCUUCUACGAUUGGACAUUGACUGCCAUUACCUUGAUUCAUUCUCAUUGCAUCCAUAACCAUAUUUCUGUAAGGAUAAGUGUUGUCAUUUGCCGCUUCAUGCACGUUGCUAGCACUAGAAGUAGACCCAACCACCAUUUCUUCCAUUCUCCUCUUACUACCAAAUACUUCUCCAUAUGCAUACCAACACUGGUAAUUCUCCAUAAACCCUUUGUGUAGAAGAUGCAUCAUUACAACAUCUGGAUGCAGAUACUUUUUAUUUUCACACUUCCUGCAUGGACACCUAAUACCGCCUCCAAUAAAAUUUCUAGGAAUAGAUGUUGCGAAAUUAAUAAAACCCUGAACCCCGUUACAAUAAUCCAUCCUCCGCAAUCCUUGGGGUGAAUCUCGAUACAUCCAUGAACGAUCAUCCAUGACUUAUAUCGAACCUCUAUAAAAUUAUGAUGACAUCAUGUAUUAAUUAACUAAGUUAGGUAAAUAAACUUGCAAAAAUAUUACUUUACCUCGAGAUUAUCCAACAAACCAAUCACAACUUCUCAUAAAUAUUAAAUAUUCAUUAUUAUUUAUCAACGUCCAUACGAAUUAAAAUAUAUAAAUUUACAGAAAUUACCACUCCGCAAUACCAUUGAUAAAACUUUAAACGGACCCAUUAAGCAAGCUAUUAAUUAUUUCAAAAUAGCACAUGUAAUUCAUAUACUAACAAAAUACAUUUACUAAAAAAACAAUAAAAUUCACAUUUAAUUAAAUGUUAAAAUUUAAAAAGAUAGAAUUACUUACAAAAAUUGAUAAAAUCCAUCGGUAAAUCAGAACACGGAUGCUGUGACCACAAAACUUCAAGAAAUAUAACUUGUUGUGCUGAUAUGAGGAAGAUUUUUUUUUGGGGGGGGAGGGGGGGCUGGUUGUUUGCAGAUGGGGAGAGUUGGGAUUAGGAAGAAGAAGGAGAAAUAGGGGAGGAGAGGGUCAGCAGAGCUGACAUGUAUAUAUAUUAACUUUUUCCAACGGUUUCACCGACGGACACUCCAUCGGUGAUUCUGACGGACACAUAGACACGUCACCAUACGGAUCUGCCAUUUCAAAUCCCUCGGUGAGUCCGUCGGCAAUUUAAACGGCGAACCGGUCACGUCACUGUACGGGCUGUCGUUUUGAUUUCGUCGGAACAAAAUAACCCGCCAAAACCUCCACGUCAGUGACCCGCCUUUUUUUUAAAUUCGGAAACUUUUUCGUCCGUAAUUCAGUCGGUAACUACCGACGGAAAUUUUCCGUCUGUAGUUACCGACUGAAUUACGGACGGAAAAUGGUCCGUCGGUAGUUACCGACUGAAUGACAGACGGAAAAGUGUCUGUCGGUAAUUUCGACCUCAAAUUACCGACAUAAAUAUUUCGUCUGUAAAUCCGUUGGUAUUUAACGAAUUUCUGGUAGUGGAACUAAGCAUAUUGAGAUCGAUUAUCAUCUUACUCGUCAUCAUCUCAAGCAUGGAACCAUUGCUUUGCCUUUUGUUCCUUCUUCCUUGUAGAUUGCAGAUUUCUUUACCAAGGCGCAUUUCAUCUCUCGUUUUCAUUUUCUGGUUGGCAAACUCUCAAUGCUUGUAGCUGCCGCAUCGUGAGUUUAAGGGAAGAUGUUAAAUAACAUUUAUGUAGUCUUGUUUAUUAAGGGUAGAAUAUUACUUUCAGUUUAACCUAUAUAUACUUUAUUUGUUUUUAGGUUAAGACUAAGCACUCAUAAUAUACAGAUUAUUCAGAAUUCUAGCCUCCCUUUUGUGUUUGAUCUUAAUUCAUUUUAACAAUGCUAUUUGUUGAAGUUGUUGCCAGCCUUCAAAAGGUCACUCGAUCUCAUUUUAGAAACUGAUUUCUCAAACAUGGAAACCUGGAAUCUCAAAAUCUUCUUAAUCAGUACAUUCCUAGUGAACAAGUAUGUCAAGGAGAAAUAAAAGGAUUGUCAAUGCAUUUUUCCAGACUAAAGUUGAGUUUAAGGACAUUCAAAAAGGUACAGUUUGCAAGGCCCGGGGGGAUUUCCCCUGAGAAAUUGUUGGAAGAGAGGUAGAGAGACGUGGCAUACUGAAUUAUUUUAGAGAUAUUUUGUGGAAUAGAUCCAAAGAGCUCAUUGCUGGAGAGAUCUAUGCCCGUUAUGCUUGUGCAGUGUUUAAGGCCAAGAGGGAACCUGCCCUUGAGACCCAUAUCCGGAAGUCUGAUAUUCAACACCCUAUUCUCACUAGGAUCGAUGCCACCAUUCAACCCCCAAAAAGGUACAAAUGAAUCCUUCAGUAGAAUUCUCAAAGUUCCAAGAAGAGUUCGAGUAAUUAUCAGGGAAAGGUUUAGCCAGGUUGAGCAACAAUAGUGGUCACGGCUGCAACAAAGUUGUCACUGGCAGCAGCGUUGUGGGCAACAAUGUUGCUGGCACGAGUCAUGAACGUUUCUGUCCAUGAUGGUUAAUUCCUUGAGAUUGUUGGUAAGGACACAAUGGAGGAACAACAUUAAAGAUACUAUCUUUAAAGAUAUUUCCUCUAAAAAAAAAUUAUAUUUAAAAAUUAUUAUUAUAAACAAAAAACACUCAAAAAGUAUAGGUUUUACCUCGUAUAUAAAGGAAACAAAGAUUUUUUUCUUGCUCAACCCAACCUUAAACCUAUUAGAUUUAAAUAUUUCAACUUAAAAAAAAAUAUUAUACAUUUAAUUGGAAUAAAAAUCUUUUAAAUAACUUCUCAAAUUAUAUUAUAUUAUUUACAACAAAUUUUUCAAACCAUUGCAGUAAUUACAAUUCAAAUUAAAUUAUAAAUUAUUAAAUAUUAUUUUAAUAUAUUUUUAAAUAAAAAACAUUUUAAAAAAUAAAAAAAUACUCCUGAUAUACCCUGCUAUGCAGCUCUGCCGCUUGGAAAAUGAGCUAGAAAAGGUUACGGGAGGAGAAAGCAAUGCAAAUUCAUUUGAACAGCCUCCAUGAUUUUCAUUUUUGCAAUUAAUAGAAAAUUUAAAAUAAUUAUGAAAAAUCAAUGUAACUUCCCUCAUAUAUAUAUAUAUAUAUAUAUAUAUAUAUAUAUAUAUAUAUAUAUAUAUAUAUAUAUAAUCCGGGAUGUUCGGGUCAGCUUACGCGUACCACGAUUUAUUUUUGGAUCCANNNNNNNNNNNNNNNNNNNNNNNNNNNNNNNNNNNNNNNNNNNNNNNNNNNNNNNNNNNNNNNNNNNNNNNNNNNNNNNNNNNNNNNNNNNNNNNNNNNNAUUCUUCAAGGAUAGUUUAAUGUUUUAAAAGUAUAAAAUUUAAAAGAAAUUUUAAAAAAGUAAUUAGGAUUUCUGUUUUGAAUACUUCAAGUAUAAUUCAAACUUUUAAAUUUACAAAAUUUAAAAGAAAUUUUAAAAAAGUAAAUAGAAUUUCUGUUUUGGAUUCUUCAUGGAUUGUUUAAAUGUAUUAAAAUUAUAAAAUUUAAAAGGAAUUUAAAAAAAGUAAUUAGGAUUUCUGUUUUGGAUUCUUCAAGGAUAGUUAAAAGAUUUAAAAUUAUAAAAUUUAAAAGAAUUUAAAAAAAGGAAUUAUGAUUUCUGUUUUUGAUUUUUCAAUGAUAAUUAAAAGUUUUAAAAUUAUAAAAUUUAAAAGAAUUUAAAAAAAGGAAUUAGGAUUUCUGUUUUGGAUUCUUCAAGGAUAGUUUAAAUGUUUUAAAAGUAUAAAAUUUAAAAGAAAUUUUAAAAAAGUAAUUAGGAUUUCUGUUUUGAAUACUUCAAGUAUAAUUCAAACUUUUAAAUUUACAAAAUUUAAAAGAAAUUUUAAAAAAGUAAAUAGAAUUUCUGUUUUGGAUUCUUCAUGGAUUGUUUAAAUGUAUUAAAAUUAUAAAAUUUAAAAGAAAUUUAAAAAAAGUAAUUAGGAUUUUUGUUUUGGAUUCUUCAAGGAUAGUUAAAAUAUUUAAAAUUAUAAAAUUUAAAAGCAUUUAUAAAAAGUAAUUAGGAUUUCUGUUUUGGAUUCUUCAAGGAUAGUUAAAAGAUUUAAAAUUAUAAAAUUUAAAAGAAUUUAAAAAAAGGAAUUUGGAUUUCUGUUUUGGAUUCUUCAAGGAUAGUUUAAAUAUUUUAAAAGUAUAAAAUUUAAAAUAAAUUUAAAAAAAAUAAUUAGGAUUUCUGUUUUGGAUUUUUCAAGGAUAAUUAAAAGUUUUAAAAUUAUAAAAUUUAAAAGAAUUUAAAAAAAGGAAUUAGGAUUUCUGUUUUGGAUUCUUCAAGGAUAGUUUAAAUGUUUUAAAAGUAUAAAAUUUAAAAGAAAUUUAAAAACCAAAUUAUGAUUUUUGUUUUGGAUUCUUCAAGGAUAGUUUAAAUGUUUUAAAAGUAUAAAAUUUGAGAGAAAUUUUGCAAAAGUAAUUAGGAUUUCUGUUUUGAAUACGUCAAGUAUAAUUCAAACUUGGAAAUUUACGAAAUUUGAAAGAAAUUUUGAAAAAGUAAAUAGGAUUUCUGUUUUGGAUUCUUCAUGGAUUGUUUAAAUGUAUUCCAAAUAUAAAAUUUAAAAGAAAGUUUAAAAAAGUAAUUAGGAUUUCUGUUUUGGAUUCUUCAAGGAUAGUUUAAAUGUUUUAAAAGUAUAAAAUUUAAAAGAAAUUUUAACAAAAUGACUAUGAUUUCUGUUUUGGAUUUUUCAAUGAUAAUUAAAAGUGUUAAGAAUUAUAAAAUUUAAAAGAAAUUUAUAAAAAGUAAUUAGGAUUUCUGUUUUGGAUUCUUGCAAAGAUAGUUAAAAGAUUUAAAAUUAUAAAAUUUAAAAAAAGAAAUUAGGAUUUCUGUAAACCCCCGUAAAUAAAAAUAAAUAAUAAUAAUAAUAAAAAAAACACAUAGGAUCGAAGUAAUGACAUUUCGAUGAGUAAUGGAUAUUCGGUAUGAAAGAAAUGAAUAAAUAGUAGGGAUGACAAUAAAUGUGUCAUGUGAGAGAGAGAAUGAUCUCCAUAAACAAAUUUAAAGAUAUUGUUGAAGUCGAAAAGAGAGUCAUGAUUUUUAGUUUAAAACUUGUAACGUUAGCGAAACUAGUGACGAGUUUUAAUGGAUAAAAGAAUAAGAAAAAAAAAACCAGAAGAUAUGUAAACCCGGGUCAAAACACGUAUUUUGACAAAUUAAUGAUAAAUGUGGUAAUAUUGAAUUUAUUGAGUAUAAAUUAAGAGGAAAUGUCACGAGGAUCUAAGUAAAUAAAUUAAUGCGUGAAAUUCAGAUUUUAGCGUAAAAGACAUUGAUUGUCUAGUUUUACGGUAUCGAUGAUAUAUCUCAAUCCGACCGUUGGAUCGGGCUGAAAUUUUAUAAGGAAUCUCCAGACAUAUUAUUUUAUAUUAGGUUCAAAUUUCGUGUCAAUCGGAGUUUGGGAAGGAUUUGCGAGAGCACUGAAAAUCGGGUAAAUUGAAGAAGAUGACACAAAGGGCAUUAAUAAGGGCUUUUUUGUAAUUUUAUCAAAACAAAUACUCUCCUCUCCUCUCUUUAAAAACAGAGCACGUCCUCUGCAAAUGGAAAAACAGGAGGGAGACCAUUUGUUUUGUCCCAUUUUCUUCAUUUUCUCUUCAUUUCUUCAAGCUAAAUCAAAAGGGAGUGUGCUUAGGAGGAUUAUAUCCAAGAAAACAAAUUAAAUGACAACUUAGAGAGUUAUAGAGCUUGAGAGAAACAAAGAGAAGAAGCUGGAAAUUGGAAGAGGAGGACAUGAUUUUUGUAAAUUUUUGCAAGAAUUCAUUGAAAUAAGUUAAAGUAGCAAAGGUAAGCAACAUACCCUUUAGUAAUUUCGUUUUUCUCUCUUGUUCUUGCAUGAGGAGAAGAAAACCUCCAAGUUUAAAAUUCUAGGGUUCAUGUAAAUAUUUUGGGGGAGUAAUUGUUCAUGUGAAUUUCAAGAUUAAUUGCAUGAUAAUGGCUUGAUUUGCUGAAAAAUAGAAGGAAUAAAUUGAUUUGAAACUAUGGGUUUUGGGAUUGCAACAGGGCAGGAACUUCGGCAGCCAUAUUUUGACUUUGCACCGUUGGAUUAGAUUGAAUUUUGGAUAUGUUAUUAUACUCAAUGUCACCUACAUUCUGACCGGAGGGAUUGCAAAUAUCCGAUUUCGUUUGAGGGCUGUCACCGGAGGAACAUUUCUGGAAAAUCACCCUUCAAGACAGCUUUGUUCGUCGGCCGUUAUAUCAUCGUUUCACCGUUGGAUUGGUCUGGAUUUUGGACAUGUUAUUCAUCCAGAUGUUAUAUAAAUUCUGAACGGUUUGGAUCGGAAAAGAACACUCCUACCAGAAAUUAUACUUCCCGAACAGCAGGUCUCCAAAUUUCAGGUCAGUCCAGUAUUGUUCUGAUAUCGGGAGGUUUAACCGUUGGAUGUAUGUUAAUUUUGGAUAUGUUAUUCGAAUGAUGAUGAUGUAUAAUUCCACCGUUUGGAUUUAUUGAAUUCUAAAUUUACAGAAUGAUGUUUUAAGUUUGGUUUGAGAAAUAUUGAAUGAGAAUAUGAGGUUUAGCAUAAAAAGUAUGUUUUGGGACUAAGGAUAAUGGCAAUGGGUUUAAUGAUGAUGGUUGUGUUUGUGUUAUGUUUGAGUCAUGUUUGAUGUGUUGAUAAGUGAUGAUAUAGUUAAAUUCUAUAAAGAAUAGUGAUUGACUAAUACUUUGGUUGUGUUAGAAUGGGAAAUCAUGUUGUAAAUUUUGACCAAAACCAUAGCAGGGUAUGACCCCCAGGGUGUAUGGCUGCUGGGUUUGGCUGUGCAACCAUACCCAAUAUCCUUGGGUAUGGUUGCGCAGCCAAACCCAACACCUUUGGAGGGUAUUGGGUCCUGCACCUGAUCAAAAUAGCUAUAGUAUAAGUAAUCCAUCCUAGGGACAUCGGCAUAGGAAGAUUGAAAAAAAAAAAACAAAACGAUUGAUUUCCUUUGGUAGAUGGAUUGGAAAUCCAUGUUAUCACGUAUGUGAGAAUUCAACCCCCCGUACCUCUCUAUAUCUCUGUACAUCGUAAAUAUAUAUAUAUAUAUCUUUUUCACUACAGUAUAACACCACCAUUGAAUAUUAAUGCAAGAUCAUUGAUCAAUAAGGACGACUGGCUUCCAGACCCACCAACCAUACCCAAUUAAAUUUCUUUGUCGUUGCCUUCUCUGAUUUAAAUUUAUGUUUCAAAAUAAAUUGAUGAGAUUUUUUUUUAUAUUGUAUAAAAGUUGAGUGAUAAUAGUUUUUCCCAUUUUAGGUUGGGUUGAAUUUCCUAAUUAAAUCAUGUCUGAUUUUGCAUUUCGAAAAUUCCUUGAAAAGUUUUUGAUAAUUUUUAAGUUUUUUUUCUUUGCUUGAAAUUAAUAUUUUUGUUAUGCUUUUGUAUUUUUUUUUUUAAAAUAUGUUGAGAUUAUGUCUGGCUGCGAUGCCAAACCCAAGAAAUUUUAAAAUUUUUAAUUUUUUUCUUUACUUCAAAAUAUUAUUUUCUCCAUGUUUUUGUAUUAUUUUUUAAAUAUUUUUUUUAAAAAUAUAUUGAGAUUGUGUCUGGUUGAGAGGCGAGACUCAAGAAAUUAAAAAAAAAUUAUUUUUUUCUUUACUUCAAAUUAAUUUUCGUUUGAUAUUUUUUUCUUCACUUCAAAUUAUUUAGAUCAUGUUUGAUUUUGCAUUUCAAAAAUUCUUUGAAAUUGUUUUGACAAUUUUGAAGUUUUUUUUCUUUACUUCAAAUUAAUUUUUUUUUUAUGUUUUUGUUUUUUUUUAAAUGUUGGCAUUGUGUUUGUCUGCGAUGCUAGACCCAAGAAAUUUUCAAAUUUUAAUUUUUUUCUUUCCUUCAAAAUAAUAUUUUUUUUCAUGUUUUUAUAUUUUUUUUAAAAUAUAUAUUUUAAAAAAAUAUUGAGAUUUUGUCUGGCUUGUUUUUGGGGCCUCUAAACCCAAGGGCAGUUAGAACAGACCUCGACGGUGGGUCUGCACCCAGCGCACUGGUCCAGAGGCCAGGAGCGCGGGGUUGCAGACCCUGCCUCGCGGGUCUGCAAACCCUAGGGUCGCAAGGUUGCACACUCGCUCGCACUGGAAUGCAGCCAGGCGCGCGGGUCUGCCCUACCACCUAAGGCAUGGCAGGCCCCGUGCCAGGUGUCUGCAUGCUAGGGCCUUGGCCAACCCUUGUGCCAAGUGGCAGCAGCCUAGAGCACGAGCAGGCGCACGUGGUCUGCCCCACUCCCAGGCCUGACAGCCUAAGCGCCAAGUGUCCCCAGCCUUAUGGGUUGUGCGUCCAGCGAGGCACUUGGGGCCUACACUAAUAUUUUUUUCAAAAAUUAUUUUUUAACAAUAAUAAUAAUAAUAAUAAUAUUUGUUAUUAUAUUUUUUUUUUGCAAUUUCCUUCUAUUUUUAAUAUUAAUACAAAUAAUAAUAUUUAUUAAUAAUAUUUUUUUUAACAUUCAAAGAAAUUAAAAAUAAAAAUAUUUAGAAUAAAAAUAAAAAUAUUUAGACUACAAAUAAUAAUAUUUAUCACAUAUAUAUAUAUAUAUAUAUAUAUAUAUAUAUAUAUAUAUAUAUAUAUAUAUAGCCGGAAGAAAUUAGAAAAAUAAUAGGAGUCUGGAGCGGUCAGAAAAUGGUUAGAAAAAUUGAUUAAGGAGGUUAAAAAAUACAAAGAUUGAAAUUUUGACAAUAUAUACUUGAAUGAUGAGAGCCCUGUUGGAAAAGAAAAUUCAAUUUGAGGAGAAAAGUACAAAAUUAGAUGUUUAUGGACUCAAUUGGAUUUUAUUGAAGGUUUAAUUGAAUUUAUAGAGGGUUUGAUUGCAAGAAAAAUUGUUUUUUAAGUCAAUUUGGGCUUUAAUUGGAAGAAAUUAAAGUUCUGGGGUCAAAUUAUAAUUUUUAAGAGUUGAUUUGGUCAAAUUAGGGGCUUAAUUGCAUAAAUAUUGAAGUUUGAUGGCCAAUUAGGGACUUAAUUGAAGAAAUCCGAAACCAAGGACCAAACUAGAAAAGGCGCGUAAAUAGAGGGGCUGUAAUUAACCAAAUCAGGGCUUAAAUUAAAGAAAUUGGAAGUUUAUUGAUCAAUUGAGGGUCAAAUUGUAUAAAUCGGAAACCAAGGACGAAAGUGGAAAAGGCGGCCAACUAUAAGGGCGGCGAUUGAAGUUGGCAGGGAUUCAAUUGAAAUGAACAAAAGAUAAAUUAAGGACUGAUUUGGAAGUUGACGUGUUGGCGCCAUAUUUAAAUGAAACGGCGCGUUUUGUCCAAAACGACGCCGUUUCAUGUUGAAAAAAAAUAUAACAGAACGGUGUCGUUUUGAGAGACACUGUUCCUCCUUCUUCUUCCCCUGGACGCGCAGCAGGGGAAGAAAGAAACUUUUGUUUUUUCUUCUUUAAUUCUUCAUGCCUAUCUCCCUCCCCGCGUGCUUUGCCAAACAUCCGAAGCCCGAUGCCCCCUCAUAAUGAGAAACUAGCAAAGACGUGCCCAGCAAACCGAGCCCGUUGGUCACCUCAACCGGCGUCGUGACAGGGCAGUAAAGCCCUGCUCCCCAUGCGCAGCAAUAGGGCGGCAAUAGGGAUGCCCCCGCUCCCUUUGCCCUAUAUAUACCACCCAACGCCAGCACAUGACAAAAAAAAGACAGAGGACGAAAAAGAAAACGAGAGGAAAAGAAAAGGAAAGCAGACGGUGGAGAGAGAGAGAGAGAGAGAGGAAGACGAGUUUGAAACAGGGGAGGGUUUGAGAGUAAAAAAAAACAGACAGAGAGGAACAAAAAGAAAGGUAAACAUAGCAGCAGAAGAGGAAAGAAAACGAAGGAGAAGGGAAGAGCAGUAACCUCUCGCUCCGCCGUUUGUAACAGCGACACCGCCACCGGCCUCCACCGCAGCACCGCCAGCGAAGCAGCCAGACCAGCAAGGCACCUCCUCCUCCGCGUCAGGUAACUUUUCUUUCCCCUCCCUUUUUACUUCAUUUUGGGCAUAAGUUUCUCCUGCAUGCAGAAUGAAUAGCGUUCUGCAUGCAGGAGGAGGAGGAGAGGGGGAAAAUAAUUCCCCCUCCCUGUUUUUUCUUUCUGGGCCAGGCCGGUUCUGGCCCAGCCCUUAUGUCUGGGCCGGGUCCGGCCCGGACCCAAAGAAGCAGAGAGAACUGUUGGGCCGAGAUCGGCCUAACCCUUUUGGGCUGAGGCCGGCCCAGUUAACUGGGCGACCCAGCCCACACAAUUAUAAUAUUAUAUAUUAUAGUAUAUUAUAUUAUAUAUAUAUAUAUAUAUAUAUAUAAUUUUUUAAAAAACAAAUUCUAAAAAAUCCUUAAAAAUUUUGUUGAUUUUUCUGCAUAUUUUUUUUAUCAAAAUUAUUUAAUACUAGUUUGUAUUUUUAUACCGUAAAGAUACAGAUCCAGUAUUAAAACAUCCGGUUUUCGUCAAAACAUUGCAAAAAAUUUAUAUAAAAUAAAAAAAUAUUUUGUUUUUCAUGCAUACGGCCAAGUAUUUCAAAGAUAAGAAAAAUCAUCACAUCGUAUUUUCAUACAAAAAAAAAUCAUAUUGUUUUUUUAUACAUAAAACACAAAAUAUUCAAAAAUAUGUUUUAGCAUGCACUUUGGCUUUAAUAACAAGUUUGUUAGAGCCAUGAGAACUAGGCCAAUAUUUCAAAAAUUCUAAAAAAAUAUUUUUGUCUUCUUUUAGUAUCUGGGAUUACGAAUUUAUACGUAAAACGUAUUCCUGAUAUUAAAAAUGUAGUUUUCUUAUAUAGGCGUUAGAACGGUUAGAUUUUUACCCGAUAAGAUAAGGACCUCUUUACUGAGGAGGACUUUUCUUGAACUAUAGACGGACCAACAAUUAGAAAUACAAUAGCACCUUAGCUUUUUAUCAGACAAUCAAACAAUGCAGCUUACCUUAGGUAAGGCGUAUUUGGGGUGCUAAUACCUUCUCUUUAUGCAAUCAAUCCCCGUACUCGAUCUCUGAGACCAGUUAGAGUUCCUAGUGACCAAAAUACUAGGUGGCGACUCCCAUUCUAUUUUCCACCGAUAAAAGACAAGAUUUUCUUGUCUCCCCAUAUUUGCCACAUAGAUAUACAUUUAGAUUGAAGUGGAAUAUUCAUCACGACGCCGCACACGUGUGACAAUAUUAAGAAUAAUAUCUACAGUAAUAAAUUUUUUAUGUUAAUUAACAAUGAGACAAUAAUAAUAAUGAUAAUUGCUAUUGUAUUUUUUCCCCCUACAGGGUCUGCCGAUCCAGCCAUGCGAGCCUCUAAACCCAAGGGCGGUUAGAACAGACAUCGGCGGUCCGGUCUGCACCCAGUGCGCGGGUCAUGAGGCUAGGAGCGCGGGGUGCAGACCCAACCUCGCGUGUCUGCAGACCCCAGGAUUGCGGGGCUGCAGACCCGCUUGCCGUGGGGCUGCAACCAGGCGCGCGGGUCUGCCCCUAGCACCUAAGGCGUGGCAAACCCCGCGCCAGGUGUCUAUAUGCUAGGGCCUCGGCCAGCCCUAGCACCAGGUGACAGCAUCCUGGGGCGCGCGCAAGCGCGCAUGGCCAACCCAACGCCCAGGCUAGUCAGCCCAAGGGGGUGUGCGUCCACCUAGACGCUUGGGGCGUGCAAUAAGAUUUUUUUCAAAAAAUGUUUUUUAAAGAAUAAUAAUAAUGAUAAUUGUUAUUAUAUUUGUUUUUUCCAAUUUUCGUCUAUUCUUAAUAUUAAUACAUUUAAUUAAAAUAAUAAUAAUAAUAAUAACAGUAAGAAUACAAAUAAUAAUAUUAUCAUAUUAAUAAUAAUAUUAAACUUGUUUGACCAAAGUUGAUACAAUAUUAAUAAUAAUAUGAAGCUUGCUUGACCAAAGUUAAUACAAUAUUAAUAAUAAUAUUUAUCACAUAUUUUAUCAAAUUAUUUAUAAAUAAUAAUAUAUUUUUUAUGUUUGAAAAAUCCAUUUUUUAUAUACUCACAUCAAAAAAUUCAUUCGUGUAAAAAGGAAAUAAUAAUAUUAACUAUAUAUGCAUAUCCAUAAGAUCUCAAUGGAUUGCCCCUUACUACAGAAUGUAGCACAUCCUUAAGCUAGAAUAAAGUGCCUUCACUGAUUAAUCUAGCAUAUCUAAUUAUUUGAAAAAAAUUUCAAAUUUCAUUUCACCUUACAUAAGAAUUUAAUACUUAAUAUUAUUUGAGAAUACAUAAAGAUUGCAAGCAGCGGCUUUUAGUGAACUUUUGAUGACAUGAAACUGCCACAAAAUGGGUCCUAUCCGAGAGGGCGUUCUUUUCUGUUCUGUUAUCACAUAGAACUGAAAUCUGUUCACAGUACCCCUCCAAGAAAAUGGUCUCUCAAGGUAAGUCCUGAGGAAUUUGACACAAAUAAAACGAUAUAUCUUGUCCCAGUAUCAAAAAAAUGUUAAAAAAUGUGAGCAUAUGAACACAUGAAGUGGUCUCAGAAUCUAUGUUCCUAUUAUUUUUAACAAUACGGAAAGGCAUAACUAACUGUUUGUACUAUAAUAUUCUUUGGUAUAUUUAUUACCGAUGGACUCACUAGCAGACCAUAAAUUAUUGACGAGAGUUUUUUCGACGGACUGUCUCCAUCCGCGUGAGCCUGUCAACAAAAUACAUACCAAUGAACUGUGAGUGUGAAUAUCGACAAAAUUUUCUGUUAGUAAAACUGUUAAAUUUGGUAGUGAUCGCUUGAUCCGCCACUAGAAGUGAUGACAAGUUAUGACCAUUUUAAGUUGUUAUUCUGGUCUGACACAAUUAGACCUUCUCUUGGACCUAGACUUGUCCUACUAGUCUAUAAAUAUAUAUGUUAGAACAUCCAUAUCAUCUGUCUAGAGCAGAUACUAAUCUAAUUGUGACAGACCCACAUAUGGCAGCUCAGAAUCAUCUGUUAUCGCAAACCCAACUACAUCAUUAAUGGUCUCUCAAGGUAAGUCAUGAGGAAUUUGAAGCAUAUAAAACGAUAUAAGUUGUCCCAAUAUCAUAAAAAUGUUUUAAAAAAAUGUGAGUAUAUGAACCCAUGAAGUGGGAUCAGAAUCUAUGUUCCUAUUGUUAUUAACAAAACGGAAAGCCACAACUAACUGUUUGUACUAUAAUAUUGGGAGUGAGAGGUACAAUGUCCAGAAUGCUUCUAAGGAUAACCAUAUCCAUAAGAUCUCAAUGGAUUGCCCCUUACUGCAGAAUCUAGCGCAUCCUUAAGUAAAUAAAGAAAGCUAGAAUAAAGUGGCCUCAGUGAUUAUUUAGCAUUAUUAAGUAGGCCAAGUACUCUUCACUGCUUAUUUCCUAAUAAUUCCUUACUGUGGAAUUGCACUUACAAAUAAAGAACUUGUUCUUGAUAUUUUCGUACGGAAUUUCGUUUAUUCGGAUUAAUUUGAGGUUAACUAGAAUAAGAAAUAAAGAUAUAGGUUUUGGAAAGAAUAGAAAAAAAGAUUAUCAAAAGAAAUUAGAAAGGAAAAGUUAGUUAUAUGGAAUCAGAUUCACCAUUAAACUAAAGAGUCGGAAGGAAUCAUUUGUUCAAUAAUUGAAUGCGAUUUUUGUCUUAUAUAUAUUUUAGGAACUUUGCACUCGAUCGAAAGGGAACAUUUGUGCCACCAAGUACUAACAAUAACUGUCCAUAGUUUUGCAUGCAUAGACACUUUUUUUCCCGGUGUUAAUAGAUAUUUUCGGACCAACUUGAAAGCAAUUAUUAGAGAUAUCAAUUCAAUCUGAAUUCAAUAUGCAUACAUAUAUAUUACUUUUUUUUAUUUUAUAUUAAAUAUUAAAUAAUGUUUAGGAAAUAAAAAUCUAAAUGGAUCGAUGAAUAUAAUAUUAGUUUCUAAAUGAUGCAACAUAGCUAGAAGAAACUGAAGGUUAUGAGUGGACCUGAUAUAGCUAGAUGAGGGUCAAACCACCAACAAAUUACAUAGAUGACUUAACAUUUAUUUUUAUGGUUUAAUAAGAUAGGAAUAGGUUCAAGAAAAAAAUAUAGUCAUGCCAAACCAAUAAAGUAUCUAAAAGAAGCCAUAACUUGUCAUCCAAUCGUCAGAUAAAUCUCAAAUUUUUACUUAGAUUCCCAAAGCCCAUCUCUAUGGAGGAGCUCUUUGGCAAUCCAUCCUCUAAAUGGAUUUCCUCAAAUUAAGAUGAGAAGAUCCGGCUUAAGCCAAUUUUUUUGUUGUUUUUUUUUUUUUUCAAAAUUUUAUGUUUUAUCUCGGAUUUUCCAUUAUUUUUCAAAUUAAAGAAACCGAGAUAAAAUACCCUGAAUCUUCUUUCAUAAUUUGCUUUCGAGAAGGUGUAGUGUUUUUGCUACUUUUACUUUUGGACCUGACUUGAUUCCUGACCGGUAGAAACAGCAUUAGUCCAAAAGCAGGGAAGCUUUUGUUUUCUUUAAUCACAUGAUCAGAUAUUCUCAUUUAUGCCCAGCACAAAUUCAUAGAAGUGGCUCUAAUGAUUGGCUGACAACAGUUGUUAAUGAGCAGUGUUUGCGUCCCUUAUUUUUCAGUUUACUAAGUAUUUAGAACAUUCAAUUCCAAUCCAAAGUCGAUAAUAAUAAACUCUUGGUGAUGGUUUUGUUAUCGAAAGUGAUCGGACAUCGGACGACAAAAAAACCAGUAAAAUUUCUUGAACACAUCCAAAUCUAACAGUUUUUACUUUUUUUGUGUUUAAAUAUGAUAUUAAUAAACUAUUGAUGAUAAUCUUUUUUUCAUUUUAUGAUGUUUUUAUCGUAGUAGUGAUAAGAUGAAGAAAAGCUAUUGAUUUUUCUCUCAGCAAUGGUUUGUUUUAUCGUACACAAAUGUUGGGUGCUUUUAUUUACAAAAAGGAGUACUGUCUAACAAUAUUCAUUCCACAGCUGUUGUCAACCAAACCUUCCCGAUCUAUAUAAAGGUUGGUUUGGCCUCACACAUAUUAGCCAAGCAAGUAAACCAGCUCGACCUAUAUACAGCUACUUGUCUUGUGUAUUGACUGACAAAUUGUAGUUAACAUGGCACGUCAGGCAGACCGUCUUGCUAAGAUUGGGCUGGAGGGCUUUGCAGCCAGAGAUGAGCACUUCGGCCGGGCCAAGAGGCGGCCACCAGUGCUGAAGGUUCCCUAUGCUCAUCCGACAUAUUACUAUGCAAACCAAAUUCCUGCAACAGAAGUUAUCGACACCAACGAGGCAGCUCAACGCUACAAGGGGAGGGUUUAUCUCGAUUAUCCUAAGGGGAAACCAGUUCCGUUUUAAAGACCUAGUGAUUAAUCACUUAGCUUUCUUGUAUGCAUAACCUCCUCCAGUUGUGUUACCUUUAGUCCUGUACGAUAUUCUCCCUCUGCUAAACGUAUACGAGGAGAGGUUGCUAGAACUCGAGUCAGGAGCUUCUUGUUACUUCUUCAAAUAAACUUUCUGUGAUUUAUAUAUCAUUUUCUAUUUGUAUGUAUUGUCAUAAUUAUCACCUCUUACUUAGCAUGGAAUUGAAAGAUACAAUAUGCUCUUGAAAUGCUUUGAAGCUCUUCAAGGUGUGAUUUCACCGACUAAGUUGGAACUGUACAGAGCUCAAUGAUGAGCCGUAGGAGGCGUCUCUGAUUGUUGCACUGUAAGCAUGAGUGUACGUAUGAAUAUAACCAGCAGAUCCGCAAAGCACAAGUGAUGACAAGCUUCUUAACACGGCUACAUUUAACAGUUUUACCAACGAAAUUUUUUGUCGGUAUUUACUCUACCAUUCCGUCAGCAUGAAUUUUACCGACUGAUUUACGGACGGAAACAGUCGGUCGAUAAAUUCCUCUUGUCAGUAAUUUUAUUAAUGUCGGUAAAAAAAAACCGAUGGUUUUACAGACAGAAAAUGCAAGCCAAUUUUUUUUCCACUGGAAUAUAAAGACAGAAUUAUUUCUUCGGUGAUUGACAGUGGCAUAUGGAGUAAUUUUAUUCCAAACCCUCUAUAAAAUACCGAAGGAAUUAUUCCAUCGGUGAUGUAACAGUUGAAAUGGCAUAUGCAGUAAUUAUUUUUCAACUCUCUGGAAUAUAACGACCAACAAAGUUUGUCGGUAACUCUGUCCGUAAUAAUUAAAAAAUAUAUUUUAUACAAAAUUGUAUAAAAUUCAAGUAUGUGAAAAUAAAUUACCUAUGCUCAUCCGACAUAUUACUAUGCAAACCAAAUUCCUGCAACAGAAGUUAUCGACAGCAACGAGGCAGCUCAACGCUACAAGGGGAGGGUUUAUCUCGAUUAUCCUAAGGGGAAACCAGUUCCGUUUUAAAGACCUAGUGAUUAAUCACUUAGCUUUCUUGUAUGCAUAACCUCCUCUAGUUGUGUUACCUUUAGUCCUGUACGAUAUUCUCCCUCUGCUAAACGUAGACGAGGAGAGGUUGCUAGAACUCGAGUCCGGAGCUUCUUCUUGCUUCAUCAAAUAAAAUUUCUGUGAUUUAUAUAUUAUAAUUUUCUAUUUGGCUGGUCAAGUAUGCAUUGUCAUAAAUAUCACUCUGCUUCCCUGAUUAUUACCUUAUUCACCUAUUACUUAGCAUGAAAUAUUGAAAGAUUAAUGCAGUCGGAAGCACAACAAUAUAGCUGCAAGCAUAGAAAGACAAAAGAUAAACUGAAAUAAUGUUAAAACACUGAGAAUCCUAAAACCUUAUUUCUAAAUUAUUAAUUUGAUUAAGUUUACCUUCUAAAGAGGUUUACAAUCUCUUUCAUAGACUAGAAAAAUAGGCCAAGAUUCGAAACAAAAUCAGAAUCCCAAAACAUAACGGAAAAUAACAUAAAAUUUAAAAAUAAACAAUAAAUCUGCGAAAAUUAAGGAAAAAUAACAAAAUUAUCCCAAAUAAUAACUAAUUAGCCUACUUUAUGGAGAUACAAUGCUCUGAUAACUAUUGAGUUGUUUUUAAUGGGAAAACGGUUUGUAGAAUCUUCUAUAAAAAUUUAAACCUGAUUUAACGGUUAGAAUAUCUCCUGUUAUCAUUAUUUUAGGCUAUUAUUCUGGUCUUGCGUGAUGAUGCUUUCUCUUGGCCUAAACAUCUUUCACUAGUACAUGAACAUAUCUGUUAGUAGUCCGUUUAGGGCAAACAAAUAAUUAAUUUGCUGUUCAAAUGCUUUGAAGCUCUUCAAGGUGUGAUUUCACUGAAUAAUUUCGAGUUUAGAAUUAUCACCUCAUUUUAGAAUUGUCCCGAGCACAAGGAUAAAAUGAUGAGCCAUGGGAAGCGUCUCCGAUAAAGAAAUAAUAAACGGAGUUCAAGGUAAAACAAUAGCUUAGAAAAAAAAAAGUAGAAAUUUACACGAUAUCUAAGAAUAUCAGCGAUCAUGACCAUGAUUGGAUCAUUUCUGAGUUCUACAACCAAAAUUUCCUUCACAUCUCUUUAACUAAGCUGAUAGUCGAUGAAGAUUUAAGGAAAAACAUGAUUCCCAAUCCGAGCCAUAUGAGCAAGUGUAUCUAGUAAAAAUAUCUUAUCUCCCAUGAAAAUCAUAUUAGUAAGCCUCCCUCUGAAGCAUUGCUUUACACAUAUCUUUUACAGAAAAAAGAGAAAAAUGGGAAAUGCUCCGAGUUAUACCUUUUCUUGAUCUUUCCCAAUCCUUCAUUAUAAAUGGGACCCAUCAAAAACAUGAGAUGUGCUUUAACUUCCUCCAUAUUUCAUCUUAGCCUAGAAGGAUAAACAAGAAUAUUAUUGCUUCUGAAACAUAACGAUUGCAAGCAUCGCCUUUCGGUGAACUUUAGAUGACAUGAAACUGCCACAAAUUGGGUCCUAUCCGAGAGAGUUUUCUUUUUCUGCUCUGUUAUCACACAUAUACAACUGAAAUCUUUAAGUCCUCUUUAGGGUAUCCCUGAAAGAAAAUGAUCUAUCAUGCAUGGAAAGUCCUGAGGAAUCUGAGGCAUCACUACAUGAAAUUCAACCAACGGAAUUGCCGACAAACUGUUUCUUUCGGUAUUUUGCGGUGAUAUUUACCGACCGAAUUACUUCCCUUGCUAAAACCGUCGGUAUAUAUCGAGUGAAUCCCAGAUAGAAUAUAAAGAAUUUUAAAAAACAAAGCAGUGCAAUGACGUGGAAGUUUUGGUGGAUGAUGUUACUGAUGGAAUUACAGAGUGAUUCAAACUGGGAUGUUCGUACAGUGACGUGUUUACUUCACCGACAGAAUGGCCGAUGGAUUUACAAACAAAAAUAUUAUGUCGGUAAUUCCAUCGAUAAUAGUUAAUAUAUUGAAUGUUUUUUUAGUGUUUACUUGUUUUAUUACUUUUCUCAAACAAACAUGUAGUAUGGAUUUAUAAUUUUGUACUUGGUAUGGUUUGUUUUAGAUUUUGUAAAAUUAUAUUUGUUUGUAAAUUGUUGAAAUUUAUGUCGAAUUACCGACUUAGGUGUGUUGUGAUGAAAUAAAUAAUGACUUGUUUGAUGGGUCCGUUUUAAUUUUUGUCAAUUUUAUUGCCGAGUUGUAAUUUCUGUAAAUUAAUGUGUCUAAAUUUGUAUGGACGUAGAUAAUUGAUAAUGAAUAUUUAAGAGAAGUUUGAAAGUAAGUUGGAAAUCUUGAGCUAAACCAAUAUUUUUGCAAAUUUAUUUGCUUGACGUAGUUAAUUAAUACAUGUUGUCAUCAUUAUUUUAUAGAGGUUUGAUAGAAGUCAUGGAUGAUCAUUCAUGGAUGUAUCGAGAUUCACCUUAAGAAUUGCGGAGGAUGGAUUAUUAUAAUAGGGUUCAGAGUUUUAUUAAUUUCGCAACAUCUAUUUCGAGAAAUUUUAGUGGAGACGGUAUUAAGUGUCCAUACAGGAGGUGUAAAAAUAAAAAGUUUUUGCAUCCAGAUGUUGUAACGAUGUAUCUUCUACACAAAGGGUUCAUGGAGGAUUACUUGUGUUGGUAUGCACACAAAGAAUUAUUUGUUCGUAACAAGAGCAUGGUAGAAAGGAUGGUUGGGUCAACUUCUAGUGCUAGCAAUGUGCAUGGAGUUGUAAAUGACAAUAGUAAUCCUUACAGGAAUAUGGUUAUGGAUUCAAUGAGAAUGAAUCAAGAUAAUGCUAGUCAAUGUCCAAUUGUAGAAGAAGAUGCUAGUCAAUGUCCAAUUGUAGAAGAAGAACCUAAUGCAGACGCGGCCAGGUUUUUUGAUUUGUUGAAAGAUUCUGAUGAACCAUUAUGGGAUGGCUGCACAAAUCACUGUAAAUAAUCAGUUGUUGCAUAUGUGUUCACUAUCAAGUCAGAUUAUGGGUUGAGUGAGGCCGGUUAUGACAAAAUUAUCGAAUGGGCGAGAAGCAUUCUACUUGAAGGGAACAAGCUGAAAGAGAACUUCUAUGCUACUAAGUCCAUGAUGAAACCCCUCGGUUUAGGAUACUAGAAAAUUGACAUGUGUCCAAACUUUUGCAUGAUGUACUACCUUGAAAAUGCUGAGCUAACCGAGUGCAUGGCAUGAGAGCAUUCCCGUUACAAAUCCAGAACUGGCAUGGGAAAGACUCUUAUGGCAUAUAAAAAACUUAGAUACUUCCCAAUCACGCCUAGACUGUAGAGGUUAUUCAUGUCACCAAAGACUACUGAGCACAUGAUAUAGCACCAAUCACUUGAUGCAGUGGAUGGAGUGAUAGUGCAUCCUUCUGACGGUGAAGCAUGGAAACACUUUAACAGUGUGCAUUCUCAUUUUUCAGCUGAAUCAAGGAACGUGCAUCUUGGGUUAUGUACAGAUGAAUUCAACCCAUUCAGGUCAUUUGUUGAUCCUUAUUCUUGUUGGCCGAUUAUACUCACGGUUUACAACUUACCACUCUUAUGGCAACAGUUGCUCCUUCUUCACAAUACUUAUGGAACAAAGACUUGUUAAGUGCUUGACUAACGGACUGUUUUUCUCAAAGCUUUUAGUUUGGUUGACCUGAAACUUUGUUUUCGUAGCAAUCCCCAUCAACGGAAACUACGAUCAAACUGUGUACAAUUUGGUUAUCUUGAAAUCGCAAUCUAGUGAUUUGCUUAAUCCAAAACCAAAAUCAAUGCCAAAGUUCGGUCAACCUGAGAUCCCAAUUUGGCGAUCCGCUUUAACUAGAACUAAAAUAUGAAAAGUAGCUCGGUAACCUGAAAUCCCAAUCUGGCGAUUCACUUUAACCAGAACCUUGGUCUUUGUCGUUAAGUUGGUCAACCUAAAAUCCCAAUACGACGAUUCUCUUUAAUAAGAACCAAAAUGUCGCCUUUAGCUUAGUUAAUCUGAAAUCUCAAUCUAGAGACCCCCUUUAACCAAAACCUUGGUCUUUAUCCUUAGCUCGGUCAACCUGAGAUCCCAAUCUAGUGAUUUCCUUUAACCAAAACCAAAAUGUCACCUUAAGCUUGGUUAACCUGAAAUCUCAAUCUACAGAUCCCCUUUAAUCAGAACCUUGAUCUUUGUCUUUAGCUCAGUCAACUUGAGAUCCUAAUCUAGCUAUUCCCUUUAAUUAGAACAAAAAUGUCACCUUCAGCAUGGUUAACCUGAAAUCUCAAUCUAGAGACCCCCUUUAACCAGAACCUUGGUCUUUGUCUUCAGUUCGGCAAACCUAAAAUCCCAAUCUGAUGAUUCGUUUUAACCAGAACCAAAAUGUUGCCUUAAGCUUGGUUAACCUAAAAUCUCAAUAUAGAGACCCCCUUUAACUAAAACCUUGGUCUUUGUCUUUAGCUCAUUCAACCUGAGAUCCCAAUCCGACAAUCCUAUUUAACUAGAACCAAAAUGUUUCUUUCAGUUUGGUUAACCUGAAAUCUCAAUCGAGUGACUCCCUUUAAUCAAGCGAUUCCCUUUAACUAAAACCAAAAUGUUGCCUUCAACUCGGUUAACCUAAAAUCUCAAUUUAGAGACCCCUCUUUAACUAGAACCUUAGUCUUUUUUUUUUAGCUCGGUCAACUUGAGAUCCCAAUCUUAUGAUCCCAUUUAACAAGAACCAAAAUAUUGCCUUCAACUCGGUUAACCUAAAAUCUCAAUUUAGGGAACUCUCUUUAACUAGAACCUUAGUCUUUUUCUUUAGCUCGGUCAACUUGAGAUUCCAAUCCUACGAAUCUUGAAACAUCAUCCCCUUCUUAGUCCUACUUUGAUUUGCCAAAAAAAUGGAAAAGAAUGAAUGAUAUGGUGGAGAACUAGACCGGUCUUUACCAUUGGCUAGAACCAACCAUAGGCUGCUUAGAAAGCAACCUUCAACACCUAAAAACAAACCACCACAUAACAACCCUGCAAUUAUCAACAACAACAUCUAGUUCUAGCUACCUAGUCUAUGUCAAAGAAUAGAAUCUGAGGCAACUUUUUGACCAAAAUUCCAUUCUCUAUUAUUCCUUCAAUAUUGGGGUUUAAUGCAAGCAACUUGUUUAUUCGGAUUUGAGAUGUAAAUAGAUUUUAAUUUUGUUAGGAUGAGGUGGUCAGGUUGCGUCACAUUGAUUAUGUCAUGAAGUUAACUAGAGUAAGAAAUAAAGAUAUCAAGUUUCGGAGAGAAUCAAGAUCAGUUAAAGCAAAAAAAAAAAAAAACAGAUUAUGAAAAUAAAUUGGAAACGAAAAGUUUAGUUAUAAGGAAUUAGAUUCACAAACAAAUUUAAGUCUCAUCAAUUCUAGGAAACAAGUUGGAAGGAAUCAAUUUUACAAAAAUUGACCUUCGCACUAGAGAGAACCUUCGAGCCACUUCAAAUGUACUGAAGGCCAUUUGUUUGCCAUAUGUGCUAAUUAAGAACAUAAUUCUAUUCUUUUGUGAGUUAAUAUUCUGUAAAAUAAGCUUGGAAUAGCUUGCGGGGGCUUGGCUCAGAGAUCAUUGAGUUUUUACUACAAAUUGCCUUUUAAUUUUUUUCCACCUGUAAUUGGAUUCGAUAAGUUUCCCUUUUGUUUACAUAUGAAGAACAAACAUUGCUUGAGGUUAUCCAAUGCCGAGAUCAAGGUCAGAUAAUACUAGCGAACCCCUAAUCAGGAUUAAGAAGCAAAAAAAAUGUUAAGUGCAGCUUAUCCAAUGCCGAGACCAAGGUCAGAUAAUAUCCUGAUUGUGCUUAUUGCCAUUAAUUAGAAACUGCAAUAUCGUCACAUAAUUAAACUGAGAUUAUUCUGAUUAGAGAACAGAAGGAAUCUUCUUUCAUAAUUGGCUUUUGCGAAGGUUUAGUGUUUUUGCUGCUACUGCUUUUGGACCUGACUUGAUUCCUGAUCGGUCGAAAAAGCAUUAGUCCAAAAGCAGGGAAGCUUUUGUUUUCUUUAAUCACAUGAUCAGAUAUUAUAAUUUAUGCCCAACACAAAUUCAUAAAAGUGGCUCUAAGAUUGGCUGACAACAGUUGUUAAUGAGCAGUGUUUGCAUCCCUUAUUUUUCAGUUUACUAAGUAUUUAGAACAUUCAAUUCCAAUCCAAAGUCGAUAAUAAUAAACUCUUGGUAAUGGUUUUGUCAUCGAUGGUGAUCGGACGACAAAAAAACCAGUAAAAUUGUUUUAUAUAAAAAGUUUAUUAAGUAUUGAAAACAUCCAAAUCUAACAUGUUUUACUUUUUUGUGUUUAAAUAUGAUAUUAAUAAACUUUUGGUGAUAUUUUUUUUUUCAUUUUGUGAUGCUUUUAUCGUCAGUAGUGAUAAGAUGAAGAAAAGCUAUUGAUUUUUCUCUCAGCAAUGGUUUGUUUUAUCGUACACAAAUGUUGGGUGCUUUUAUUUACAAAAAGGAGUACUGUCUACCAUUAUUCAUUCCACAGCUGUUGUCAACCAAACCUUUCCUUUCUAUAUAAAGGUGGCUUGGCCUCCUACAUAUUAGCCAAAGCAAGAAAACCAACAAAACCUAUAAACAGCUACUUGUCUUUGUGUGUUGAUUAAUUGUAGUUAACAUGGCACGUCAGGCAGAUCGUCUUGUUAAGAUUGGGCAGGAGGGUUUUGCAACCAUUGAUGAGCACUUCGGCCGGGCCAAGAGGCGGCCACCAGUUAUGAAGGUUCCCUAUGCUCAUCCCACAUAUUACUAUGCAACAGAAGUUAUCGACAGCAACGAGGCAGCUCAACGCUACAAGGGGAGGGUUUAUGUCGAUUACCCUAAGGGUAAACCAGUUCCGUUUUAAAGACCUAUUGAUUAAUCACUUAGCUUUCUUGUAUGCAUAACCUCCUCCAGUUGUGUUACCUUUAGUCCUGUACGAUAUUCUCCCUCUGCUAAACGUAGACGAGGAGAGGUUGCUAGAACUCGAGUCAGGAGCUUCUUCUUACUUCUUCAAAUAAACUUUCUGUGAUUUAUAUAUCAUUUUCUAUUUGUAUGUAUUGUCAUAAUUAUCUUUCUUACUUCCUCAUUAUCACCUCUUACUUAGCAUGGAAUUGAAAGAUACAAUAUGCUCUUGAAAUGCUUUGAAGCUCUUCAAGGUGUGAUUUCACCGACUAAGUUUGGAACUGUACAGAGCUCAAUGAUGAGCCGUGGGAGGCGUCUCUGAUUGUUGCACUGUAAGCAUGAGUGUACGUAUGAAUAUAACCAGCAGAUCCGCAAACCACAAGUGAUGACAAGCUUCUUAACACUGCUGCAUUUAACAGUUUUACCAACAAAAUGUUUUGUCGGUAUUUACUCUACCAUUCCGUCAGCAUGAAUUUUACCGACUGAUUUACGGACGGAAACAGUCCAUUGGUAAAUUCCUCUUGUCAGUAAUUUCAUUAAUGUCGGUACAAAAAAACCCGAUGGUUUUACAGAUAGAAAAUGCAAGCCAAUUGUUUUUCCACUGGAAUAUACAGACGGAAUUAUUUCUUCGGUGAUUGACAGUGGCAUAUGGAGUAAUUUUAUUCCAAACCCUCUAUAAAAUACCGAAGGAAUUAUUCCAUCGGUGAUGUAACAGUUGAAAUGGCAUAUGCAGUAAUUAUUUUUCAACUCUCUGGAAUAUAACGAC